rnacentral:lncRNA from 1 species
UUCUCACAGACCCCACCGACCGAGAAUGUCUGGAAAACGAGCCUAAAAUCAUGACCCUUUUGUCUCCUAAUCCUAACAUCGUACAAAUCUACGACAUGUUUGAAUCAGAAGACACCCUUCAACUCAUCCUCGAGCUUUGCCAACCUUACACCCUUUACGACCAGAUUUUACAACCAGAUUUGUCUGAAUCCAAAGCCGCUUCUUACAUGCAACAGAUUAUGUCGGGUUUAGCUCAUUGUCACAGGUUUGGGAUUGUUCAUAGAGAUAUUAAACCUGAUAACAUUUUUUUUGACUUCAGAGGUAACUUAAAGAUUGGGGAUUUUGGUUCUGCUACUUGGUUAGGGGAACUUGGCACGGUCGAUGGGUUAGUGGGGACGCCUUAUUAUGUUGCUCCCGAAGUUGUGAUGGGCAGAGCUUACAAUGAGAAGGUUGAUGUUUGGAGUGCUGGUGUCGUUUUGUAUGUUAUGUUAGCUGGUGCUCCACCGUUUUAUGGUGAGACAGCUGAGGAGAUUUUUGAGGCUGUUUUGAGAGGGAAUUUAAGGUUUCCUACAAGGAUUUUCAGGUCAGUUUCGGCUGAGGCUAAGGACUUGUUGAGGAAGAUGAUUUGCAGAGAUGUUUCUAAGAGAUGGUCCGCAGAACAAGUUUUGAGUAAGUUCUUAAUUUCUUUUCCUUUUUUUUUAUUUUGUAUUUGUUUGGGGGUUUUUGAUUUGAAGUGAAUUGAAAUAUUGGGAUGAUUUGGUUUUGGUUUCUGAUUUUGAAACUUUCUUUUGUUCUUCCUGAUUUUGCAAGGAAGAAGGAGAGGAAGCUUUCCAAGUUGAAUUUUCUUCCUGUUUUUUUGACGUAUUUCAAAAGUCCAUAGACCCAAAUCUUUUCCUCAUCUAACAGUAUCAUCAGGCAUCCAAGUAAAGAAUAAAUUGUUAAUUUUUUUCUUGUUCUGAAAUGCAGGGCACCCCUGGAUCUUGAAUGGAGGGGGAACAACUUAAAUGGACUGAUUUUUAACAAUGAAAAGAGCUGGAAAUUAUCAGUCAAAAGCAGAGCAUAAUAGCUUAUCAAUGUAAAUAUUACGCCUGCCUAUCAAAUUCCAUAAGGUCCCCCUAGCUUUCUUCUCUACAAAGCAAAAGUCAAACCAAACACUCCAUGAUGGAUUCUUCCGCAGAAUUCAGUUUUCCAAUGCCAUGAAAGCAACAUAGAGAAUUGAGUUUCUUCACAUGGGUGCUCAACCACCAAGAACCUACCAGUCUUUUUUAAUGUCUUUUUUGGGUUUUUUUUGCCCUUUCUUUGAAUGUUUUAAUAAGGAAGCAAGAGAGUGUACAAAGAUAAAUAGUAGGUUGAAUGGUUGAUAAUCCUCCUGUACUUCUCUUUUUGUUAAUAAAAGUAUUAAGUAAGCGAGAAAGCCUAGGAAACCAAGCUGUUGUUGAUUCUCUUCUACCGUUUAUAUAUGGGAAUCUAGUAUGCUUUAUUUUUUUCCCUGAGAAAAUGAAUCCUUGAAUAGAGAAUUCAAUCCCCAAACAUGAAGCUUCGUUUAACUUUGGAAUCUGAUUUUGCAUCUUUUGAUAUGAUACGUUAUCAUUUAUCAGUUUCUUUGGUGGAAUCUAAAUGUUCAUCUUUCUUUGGACGGUAGCAUAUUACAAGCAUGUACUUAGGCAUAUACUUGAAGAAAAUCUGCCGAAUUGUAAUCAGGCAUGUAUUCGUGAACAGGCAGCUGACUGUUCAUUCCAUGUUGACAUUUGACAAAAAUAAAUAUUGAAUUGCACAUCAUUUUCCACCCACCAAAGUCGUAUGCUUGAAACUUAAGAACCAAAAUAUUGGGGAACAAGCUUUCUAUGUUAGCAUAUGCUUUGGUUUAUUCCCUUUCUUUUGUGUUUAACGUGUAGAAGAUGUGCAUCCGAGCAUUUGAUUGUAGUGUCGGUGCAUGGUUUUUUAUUCAAAGAGUAAGGUUGGAAUUUCUCCUUUUCACAAUCAGAAACCUGUAGAAGAUGUUCCUAGUUGAAAUUUCUUGUUAACAAAUGCUCAUAAACUUAAUAUUUGUUUUAAUCACAUUGAUUCAAAGUCAAUAGCAAUCCUCAAAACUCUCAUUUAGAUUUGCAGGUAGCUUCUAGAAGUGGAAGAAAUAUUUGCACUGAGAUUUGCAGUGACAUAAUAGAAAAUUUGAAACUCUAAAAUUUCAACUGGAGAGAAUUCCUUGGAUUAAGGUUUGCACUCAAAUUUCAACAUUGAAACUCUUAUUUUUCAAACCUUAUACUGGAAGAAAGUCUAUGCACUGAGGCGUGCAGUGACACUGAUGAGAAAUGAUCAAACCCUCAGUUUGAGACCAUACCUUAACGCAAAGCAACUGAGGUAAUUAUUUACCAAGAAAAAAAACGAUUUUAAUUGAAAUUAAUAAUCUAAAAUAUGAUAUAAUGACACUAUAUAAAAAUAAUGAGAAAAUAAAAUAUAAAAAUGAUAUAGUUUAAAAUUAUAAUAAUAAUUAUAUAUAAAUUUAAUAAAAUAAAAAAAAUAUUUUAUAUUUUUGAAUCAAUAUGAAUUAUGAAAUAUAUAAAAUUUAAUUUUUUUUAUGUCGUAAAUAUUUAAAUCAUCAAAUCUAAUUAAAAAAUUAAAAAUAUUAAAUUGUUUUUAUAGAAAUAAAGAGUUUUGAGUUUUGUCAAAUUUUUUUAAAUUAAUUCAAAUAAAUUUAUUUAUCUCGGAUUUUCUCUAAAUAAAUUUAAACUCAAAUAAAAAAUUAACUUUGUUUUGUCACAAUGCAUAUGUUAUCCCUUUGGAUGUACUAUUCAAAUAGGUUUUUGUUUUCUACAUGGUCCCAACUUAAAAUACAAGAGCAGAAACCAACACUGGAAUCUUUAACAUCUGGCAUGUCCAAGGCCAAGUGGGGGAAAAAGAUGCAAACGUGGUGAGAUUUGAAGGAAAUUUGCAGUAUUAAAAUUCUAUCCAUUGCCACUUUGUUUAAUUUAAGAAAUAAAAUCUUCCUAGACGACAAAAUUUUCAUUCAAUUUUCUGUUCAAGGGUAACUGCAUUUAAUUUAGUUAUUUAAAAAUUCGUUUUGGGACCCUGUCAUGUCAUUCAAUAGUACGAAUACUUCCAAGAUCCUACGUGUUGUUCUUUUUUUUUUUUUGGGUUUGAAACAGUAAGAUUCCUUGUGGAAAAAAAGAAAGUGUAUUUGUAGAUCAGUACAGCAGCAUAUCAGGUAAUUGAUAUAAUAUAAAGGAUCACAUGCAUCAUGCAUGGGAUAAGAUCUGUGAUAAGUUAUCACAGUUUCCAGACAAAAUUUUUGGAUAUUUAUAUUUGAGAAAAAACGAAAAAUUAAGCUGCAUCGAUUCCUCAUAUUUCAAUUUGAUUCAUGCUCUUUGUAAUUAAGACUAUCAAGUAUAGCAAGAAAACACUACAUUUUCUUGUUGAAUGAUUGGUUAAUUUCUUAGGGAUUAAAACAAAAAAAGGAAGAUGAUGAUACAGAAGCAGUUCCUUUUCAUUAUUUUUUGGAAACAACUUUCUUAGCAACCAAACAAAUUAUUGUACUUUUUCAAUAUCAAUUCCUGUACAUUUCUCAAUAAAAAAAAUAGAACCCAUUAACCAUUUAGAGACAACGACUCCAUCAAAUCUUGCACCUACUCCAUGUGCUCACCUGCAAAAUUUAGGUCCUACCCAUGUGAUGCUAGAGUUUUUCUUAAAUCUUCUGGAUAAAUCAAAUUAUUUGUGGUUCAAUAGGGCUCAAGUGUGGUCAAUGUCAAUAUCCCCUUGUUUUGUCUUGAAAUUUAUUUUGUUAUGACAUACAAUUUUUUGAGUUUAAUUUGGCUUAUAGUCAGUGACGAAUAUACCUUUAAUGUUAGAAUGUUUAUGAACACUUGUAAAUUUGAAAAAUAUAAAAAUUUGAAAAAAAAAAUUCAACUAGGUAGCUUAAAAUUUUAAGUGAACUCCAAAUUUUUUUUUUUUUUUUAAUUUUGUUAGUUAUGACUCAUGAUUUAAGUUAAAUUAAACAACACUUAAAGAAAAAAAAAACUAUCAGUGUUUCCAAAUAUUAGGUUUGUGACACAAAAGUCAAGGAUUUUUGUAGGAUAUGACUGGAGUUCAGAACCAGGAAGCAAUUUUUAAAUUGAGGUUUAGUAAUCAUGAUUAUUUUUUGAAUUUAAUUAGAAAACUUAAUCAUUAAGGAUAAGGAUCAUUGGGGAUCCAUAAAAUUACAUAGAGAAUGAAAAAGUAAACAAGAAUCAAUUGAAUUAGUAAAAAUUAAAAACAUUAUUUGUAAAAUUUAAAUUUAAUUUUUAUUAGUUGACAAUAGGUAGAUUUUUUUUUAAACAUGUGGUAUUUUUUUAAAAAUUUUUUUAAUAUUCAAAAAUUAAUUUAAAUCUCGAUUAAUUCAUAAUUGAAUUAGAUUGAAUAUUAUAAAAAAUAAAUUUUUUUAUUUAUAAAACUUAAAAUUAAAAUUUUAUUUUAAAAAAAUUAAACUCAGAUCAAUAAGUAUUAAUAACGUGUCAUAAUUUGUUUUCGAAAUAGCCAACCCCAUAUUAACUCUUACCUUAAAAAGAGGGAGAAAGCAAGCUCUUCCUUGUACAAAUUGAUUUGCAAUUUUUCAUCAAUCAUGGCAUGAAUUUGGCAUGUUUCAGCAAUCUUUGAAAUCCGUGUUCAAAGACCCAUCUAGCAUGUAUUUAUAUUCAUGCCAAUUUUUACUAUAUAAAGGACUGAAAACUUUUGGGUGAAUUUGCUUUCCAUAUACUAUAUGUUAAAUUUAAUUGUCUUUUAUAUAUGUAUAAUCAAUUAGUAGCAUGAUUAAUCCUUAAUUAAGUGAAUGUCAUUUACUUUUUUUGAGUUUCCACCGGAGAUGGAGCUUCCAAUUGCACCGUUCUCACUGUGGCAAACGAGACCUAAAGCAAUAAAUUUUGUUCUUAAACUACAAACUGAAAAAGCUGUUGAAGAAAGGAGCAGACGUGAAGCGGGGAGCCAUGGAAGGUUAGGUUUCUAGUCCACAGGAAACAGUAGCUGAGCUACAUCGAUAAAAGGAAAUGUAUGCUUUUGAGAAGCUUACCUGCCUGAAAUUUUCUUACAGAUGUGGACAUAUCUGUGGGGUUGCAGAUCAGAAUUCUGAUAUUGAAAUGGAAUCGCCAUUCUUUCUAGAACUCAUAAAAGGCCAAAAAAAAAAUGCCACUUUCUUUGACCAUUUAUAACUGAUCCCCAAGAAUUUUGCAUUGGAUGCUGUUAUUAGUACUGAUCGACAUGGUUUUUCUUUUUUUUUUCCUAUGUUCAACAUAAACUUUAUGGGUGGGGGGGACACUGGGAGGACACACAAUCCACGCUAUUUCUCUAGAAUAUUUGCUAAAAUUACUGUUAUUCAGUCUUAUAAUAAAUUAAUAAUGUAUUAUUUUUAUAAUACAAUAUAUUUUCAGGUUUUGUCUUUUCCCUUUCAAAGGCACAUCCUUUGUGAUCUUGGUUCAUUUAAAAUUUUUAUUUUUAAAGUGUUUUUAAUAAGAAUUAAAUUUUUUUCACAACAAGGUUUAGACAAGGAUAGCUUACUUCAACACAAGAUUAAAACAUAUCAUAAACUCCAAUGAGCUUUUAUAUUGAAUUUACAAAUUAUCAAUAGAAAAGAUUAUUGAUAAGAAAAAUCAAAUUUAAAUUUUAUAAAUAAAGUAUUUGAUUUUUACUAAUUCAACCAAUUAAGAAGAAAAUGAAUUCUUUUCUUUAUCAAAUUAAUUAAUUCUUCUAUGUCCUAUAAUAAAAUUUUUUUAUGAAAAGAUUUAUGAAAUAAAUCAGCUGUAUAAUGCUGAAGUGAGCAUAUCAAAAUAUGGUAAAAUAUAUUUUACUUAUUAAUAAUCGUACAUACAAAAACAACAUUAACUAAAAGAAAUAGUUCAAAUACGACAUUGAAAUCAAAUAAAAUUUUAUUUAAUAAAGUAAUUUUUAAAUAUAAUCAAUGCUUCAAACUUAUCAAAUUGAUAUACUAUCGAAUAGAAUUUUUGUACGAUUAGAUCACGGAAGAGAUAGGGUGUUAAAGAAAAUAUGCCAUUCAUGUCAAGUAGGGUUAAAUGCAUAAAUUUGGAACAAAAGAGGAAUAAAAUGAAAAAUAAAGAAAUAAAGUAAUAGAAUAAACUUUUUGGGAGGGAUUCUUUUUAAAUUUGUACUCAAAUUCAGUGCAUGCAAAAUGCAAGAGAAACGUGAAUACCUUUUUAACUGGAAUCCUCUUUGACAAGUGGUUUUUUAUGGUCAUUUCAGCAUAUUCUUUCUUGCAUGCCAACAAUGUUAUUUCUGCCAUCUUUCGUCAUCUUUGAAAAAAGAGACCAGGCCCAUUUUCCAUCUUGAUUUCUAGCUUCCAAAAUCACGUUGAAAUGGGAAUGAGAAGAAUAUUUCUUCGCCUACCAAAAUCAUGGAGAUGACCAAUUUGCUUGUAGCGUAACCUUUUAAAAUUCUUUGUUCUGCUUCCACUUUUGAAUAGUAGUAUUCUUUUUUCUUUUUUUUUUUAUUUAAAAAAAAAGGUUAUUGUGAAUGACGAAUGAAUUGUAAUUUAAAUGUUAAGGAUCAAAUUAGAAUGAUUAAUUUUGCUUGUGAAAUUUAAAAAUUAAAUUGAUGAUGUAUGAAAUAAGGUUUUAAAUGUAAAACUCGAAACAUUACCAAACAAUAGUAAAGAAAAUGAGAGGUAGUUUAAUAAAUAUAUUGAAAAUGUUAUAUUUCUAAUGUAUAACCAUGGGUGUGUUCUUGUUCCCAACCCCAUGUGAUACGGUCAGCUUCCAAUUUUUUUCUUGCCAAACCCAUGAUUUGUAUGCCUGGUAACUUAUUGACCACGAAGCUCAAUUAAGGCUUCUUUCACUAGUUUGACCAUUUUUAUCCCAAAAGAAAAGCAAAGGAAAUUAAUUUUCUAUCUGAUUGAUCACAUUCAAUCCCAUAUUAUGGGUUUGAAGUAUAAAACGACUCUGGAAUUACCCACUUUUCUGGGAAAAAUCUCGAGAAAAUCAAAGUUGCCUUGGGGUAGGUGUAUUAAAGAUAAGGACUUGAAAGAAAGGUACUUGUGCUUAUAACUAUAACUACAAGGCUACUACAACUCUUGUAUAAGUCAAGCAAAUUUCUAGUUAAUUGUGGAUCCCAUAUGGAAUAUGCUUUUGUUCUAUGAAAGCAUCUUUCACUUAUUAUUAGGUGAGGCAGCUUGAAAAUUGCGGUCCAAGUAGCUAUGAAAGUGGCUCAAAUUCAAAUUCAAGUUCAUGCUUAAAUGAGGAGCUUCAAUAAUGGCUUCUAGAGGAGAGAAAAAAAAGUACACAUUUUUUAGGCAAUAUAUUGCAUUUGAAUAGACAUAGGACCACAAAUGAAUUUACUUUAUGAUGGGUUCGGUUCUUUUUUUUUUUUUCAUUAAUUUUCAGUAUGAUUUUAAUAAUUAUUUAAAAAAUAUGAUUUUCAUAAUUCAUGAGUGAUUUUUUAGGUAAAAUUUUAUUUUAAAAAUUUGUAAAAUUUACAUUCAAAAUAAAUGAAUAAUAAAUCCAAAUAACUCGCUUAGCUUAAAAGUAAUAAGUUUAUGAUACAACUAAGAUAAAAUCUUAGUUUGGGACUAGUUAAAAAAAAAAUAUAUAUAUAUUUUUUAUGAAACUAAAUAGAAAAUAUUUAUGUGAUUAACACUAUUCUUGUGAAAUAUAAUACGAAUAUUAUUUACAAUUUUUUUCUACAAAAAAAUCGUAGAUUAAAGAUAAAAAUAAUCAUAUAUUUUAAAUUUUAAAUAUUAAAAUUAUUAAUUAUUAUUUUUUAAAAAUGAUCAAAUAAAUUAAUUGAAACAAAUUUUGAAUUUUUAUUUAUAAGCACUUAAUCACUAAAGAAAACGCUGUUAGUCAACGGUCGUGUGUAAAUGUGUUCAAACGAUACACUACUUCUUACGUAGCUUUCGUAGCAUAAACGUAUAACACAGAAGUUGGACUGUUUUGAAUAGGAAAUUCAAGCUGUGAUAUUAUUAAAGUCAAGGUCCAUGCUUUUCCCUGUUUUCACUCAAUGGACUGUCUUUCGUGUCCCAAACUUUUAUUACACCGUUCAUUACUCAUCAUAGAUGACUUGUAUGUAGGACUUGAAUGAAGUCUAUUUUUUAUUUAUUUAUCUUUUUUUUUUAAGUGUUGUGUCAGCUUCUAAGAAAAGAAAAAAAUAUAUUUCUUUUCAAUUCCUUUUGGGUUAUAAUUUAAAAACUUUUUUUUUUUAAUAUUUUUUUUUGUCAAGGGUAAAUUGGGCUAAAACAACAUGUAGAAUAUUUGAAAAUGCAUUGAAUUGGGCCAAAGGAGUAGGCCAUAACACAUCCAUUUUAUGUAGGUUGGUUUGCAACAACUAGUGUUAUAAAAAGAAGUAGGAAAUUUUCAUUUCUCACAACUAGUGAAUAGUUAAUACAUGAACCUCAAUAAAGAAGAGAAAGUCUUCAAAUAAUUAGCUUCAAGUUUUCCUCAAUCAUAAAAGAAAAACCCAAGAGAUCUGGCUUCCUUUUUUGUUUUGUUUUAUUUAUUUUUUUGCUUAUUGUUUGUCCCAUUUUUCUUUCACUUUUGGACCAAAUCCCUACAUGAAGAAUUAGAAUCCAAUUUGAUUUUGAAUUGUUAAAUAAAAACAGCCAGCCAUCAAAAACAUUUAAGUUUAGAUCAUGUGAAAAGAAAUGCUUUUUUCUUGGACCCAAUGAUAUAACAAAAAAAAAAAAAAAACUUGAUCUUGUAAACCUACUUGAAGGCUUAAAUCAUUGAUGACGCCCAAGUCCAUUGGGUUUGACUUCUCUUCGUUUUUUAAUUCAAUCAAGUUGGGUUUGCUUUUAUUAGAAUACCUAUCACUUAAAAGGCCUUCUUUUUUUAUAAGAAUCUAUGAUUUUUUUUUUUUAUAUAUAUUUGAUAUUGGAGGAUUUGAAUUCUGAAAUUAAAAGUUCAGCAUAUCGUAUUGAAAUCAAAGGAUUUUGUUUAGUGCAAUUCUGGUGUGUUCAUGAUGUAACUCAUGGAGCUUCUUCUUCUACCCUACAAAGUGCAAAUGUUGUUCUCAUACAUAUGUACCAAGGAAUGACUGCAAUGCAAUGAAUGAAAUGAAAAACAAUUAGGGGAGUUGUUAAUUGAAUUGUAAGAAGUUAAUUCAUGCAUGGCAUGGCUUAUGUUCAUAAGAUUAAUUGUUCUUUUAUUCAUGUGACUUUUAUUAUUUUUUUUGCCUAUAUAAAUAUGUAUUUUCAUUUCUUAAAAAUAUUUUUCUUUCUUUUUCUUUUGUAAUUUAUAAAUUUUGAUAACAAACUUGAAAUCACUUGAGGAAUUAUGUCAAGUAAAAAGAAGUAAAUAAAAAAAAUCAACAAUUAUAUAAUUUAUUGAUAAAAUAUUAUACUUUUAAAUUUGAAAAUUAGGGUUCAAUUAUCUUUACAACCUCAAACAAAAUACAUAAUGAUUUACAUAAUUAAGCUUCUUACCUAAAACUUAAUUCACGCAAUAACUGUAUUCUUUUAUUUUUGAAAAAUUAAAAUAUAAUAAAAUUUCUUUUUUAUAAUUUUCUAAACGAACCUAAUAAAUGACCUUUUCUCGAAAGCAAUACAAAUGAAAAAAAAAAUCCAAAGUAAAAUAGGAAUAAGACUCGUUAUGAGACAAGAAAUUUAAAGUUAUACAAUUACUCAAAUUUGUAAACAAAAAAAAUCCGAUUUAAAUAAGAUUUUAAAUUUUAUAUGGUAUUUGGCAAACAAAAGUUUUUUUUUUAAUUGCUCUAAACAUUGCACGUGAAAUCUCUAAUGUCACGUGACCUAUAUAAGUAAGACACAGCCCUAAAAUUUUCUUACUUCUUCUGCCUCUUGUCGAAAUCCAGAUUUUCUCACUCUUACGGCGCGAACAAGAAAAAAGAUAAAUAAAAUGAGAAAAGGAGGGCCAAGAAAGGGAGGGAACUACACAAAUCCAUGUUUAACGAUGCACCAGCCAUGGGCUUCGUUGUUAGUUCAUGGGAUCAAACGUAUCGAAGGCAGGUCCUGGGCUGCUCCAAUUAGAGGUAGCCGCUAAUUUGUUUAAAUAUAAAGCUUUUAAAUUUAUGCAUAAAAACAAAUACCCAUGUCUUUUUUGUCAGUUAUAUUUCAUGGGGUUCUUUUGUUUUGAGUAAAAAAAAAAGUUGGAAAUUGUUAGAAAAAGCACCAUAUGUUUUUUUGAUAAGGCUUUAAUUUACGUUGAAAACAGUACUCAAUUUUUUUUUCAUAUUAAUCUCCUUAGUGUUUUCUUUUAUGAUUUUAAAUCAUGUGGUUGAUUAGUUUUUGAUUAGAGUUAGGAUUGGGGCUUUUAGUUUUUUGUUCCUUAUGUUUUGUGGAAUAUCUAAUUUUUACUCAACAAUAAAGAAAAGGUUAGAUAUUGUUGAUUGUUUUAGUUGCUUUAUGUUGUAAAUUAAUUUUGAGUUCUUAUCUUUGUUUUGAGCUGCUUUUUAUAGAAACUAUGCUUGUUGUUAGGGGUAAUAAGGGUAAGAAAAGCAUAAUAUGUGCUGAUUUUUAGACUGUACUUUAGUUUACAUAAUUACUAGACAAUAAAGCUUUAGUGGUCAAUUUUUUUACGUCCAAUUGAAGUGCACUAUUCCUGAAAUGGAAAUGCCUUUUUAGAAGACUCCUGCUAGAUGUUUUAUGCUUCAAUUCUUUGCAUUGGCCCUGAAGUGGAAAUGUCAAUGUUGUUUUAGAGAAAUGGAGUUAUGAUUAUCCAUUUUCCUUUUUACAGUUUUGAUGCGUUUAUAGCUAGUGUUUCUUUUCUUCCCCUUUCUGCAAAGUUAAGCUGCCUCUGAGUAUAUUAUGUUCUCUUUGCAGGUCGCCUUUGGAUACAUGCUGCCAGUAAAGUCCCAGAUGAAGCUACAAUCAAAGCAAUGGAGAAUUUCUAUAGGGAAAUUUAUGCAAUGAGUGGAAUUACUGAUAUUGAGUUUCCAGAACAUUAUCCUGUUUCAAGACUGCUAGGUUAGUCCUUUCUAUAUUCGUUUAAUCUCAUUUGAUAUUUCUGUGGUGGUUUAUUUGCUUGUUUUUCAAUUCUCUUUGGUAUUACUUCCUGACAAUAGUUCAUUGCAAAUUGAUAAAAUAAUUUUAUGGGGUAUGGUUUUAAUUCUGAAUGGCAUUGUUUUAAAUUUCUAUCCAUUGUAUUAUUUUUUUCUAAUCUAGAUUAAUUAUUCUUUGAUAGGAUGUGUUGAAGUGGUUGGCUGUUUGAGAUGUGAAGAAUUAGUUCAAUGGGAGGUGCUACCUGAAGGGGUGGGCUACUUAGCUUUUCUCACCUUGUGCUCCUUGAUAUCUCAACAUGAUAUGCGACAAUUCCAAUCCACUCAUUCUUUUUAUUCUCCUUUUUUCUCCUUGGUAUAUCCAGGUUAGGCUAGAAGGACUAACUGAUUUUUGCUGGCUUUGUGAACAACCAAAGGUGUUAAUUUCAUGCUGGAUAGAUUGCUAUUCAACUUAUUUUAUAAUUCCUUUUUCAAUUAGAUAUUAUAUUGUGAGUGUAUUUUUUUUUUCAUUCGGUGUAGAAAUUGCUAGUCCCAUUUGAGAUGCGAGGCUACCAACGUGUUUAUAAUUUGGAAAAGAAGGUAACUUUGUGCAAGAAGUUAGACUAUUCUUGCUCAAUUUGCUUUGAAUUGAUAUUGAUUGAAAUAUCUGUUACAGAUAUAUGAGGCAGCUGUUAGAGGUCUUGUCCCAGUUGAUAGUCCAGCGCCAGUAAAAUUUCCACUACCAAAUCCGAGAGAUCCUUUCUCCUUGAAGCCAGGAUCCAUUUCUGCAUCCAUUCUGGAGUCCGAAGCAUCUGCUAUUGAGAAAUCAUCUGGUCUCAUUGCAGCAAUAGCUGGUGCACGAGCAGCAGCUACACAGUUCUCAAAGGACCAAGAUUUUCCUACAAAUACCAUCCAGAAUAGUACACCUGAUUCAACAUUAAGUGAAACACAGACGAUAUUUAUAAAAGACAAUAGAAUACCUGAUAGUAACUUAAAGGAAGGAUCUAUAGAGGCAAAUUCAGCCUUAGAGCAAAACAACUACUUUGAGGAAGAGGGAAGCAGUAGUCACAGUCAACCUCCUGCACAUCCAAAACAGCAUCCUGGUGCCUCUGCUAAGGUAAGCAGUUAUUUUACUUUGAUAUAAAUUGCCGGCCUGCUUUUUCAUUGCAUGAAUAAAGUCCAUGAUAUUGGUGUUCCAUCCAACAUAUCAACUAGAUGAUUGAACAUUGAAUGGGGGUGAGGGGGAGGACACAUGAAUGGUAAUUGCUAUUCUUAAUAUCAUGUCAUUUUCUUAUUAACCCGUGUAUUCAAACAAGUGGAACAAUUUUAACUUCAGAUUGCACUAUCUAAUUUCUGGACUUUUAGUUUUUUACCCCAGCGUCCUUGUCUGAUUGCUCCAUCUUUGUAUAUUUAGAUUUUUGCUGCAGCAUUGAGGGGGCUGAAGCCAUCAUGAAUAGUUAACUAAUUCUUAGGACAAGGAGCUUGUAUAUUAACUAGACGUGUGUGGCAUAAGGUUUUCUAUGCUGAAAUCCAAGUAAAGCUCUUCAAACAGGCAUAUCGGAAGUGUUUUUCUCUCGUUAUUCUUUUCCAUUUGUAUGCAUAAUUCAAUUCUCUCUGGAUGUCUGGUUCUUAGGGCUUGAUAGUUGUCGUUGUUGUACUAUAAUAGGAUGUGCUGAAUUUUCAUGGAUUGUUGUAAUUUAUAGAUCUCUAAUUAGGUGCAAAAUCCAUAGACGUGACAAUUUAAAAUGAUAAUUUAAAAUACGAAAGAAUAAAACGACAUGAAUACGAUAUAAAUAAAAAACAUAAAAGUGUCACUAUUUAAAAUUUUAAUAAUAAUUAUAUAUGAAUUUAACAAAUUUUAAAAAAUAUAUUUUAUAUUUUUGAUAUGAAUUAUAAUACAUAAUUUUCAUAUAAAAUAUAAUAUGAUUAUGUAAAUUUUAAUAUUUUAUAAGAAUCAUUACAUCUAUAAAAGUAUGUCAAAAGUAUAGUGGUGAAUACAUAGCCAUUUAAUAAUUAAGAGUGGAGAUAGCCAUCCAAGACCAUGUCAAAGUAUUUUUGAUGCCUUCUCCCAUGGAUAAUGUGAACUGCAAAACUGUAAUGGCAAGUUGUUAGUGUAAUCUUUUGUUGGUAAGUUCUCAUGAACCUCGUAAGCAUUUAAAGGGCAUUUAUCUCCGGCCUGAUGAUGCAAGAAGCAAUAACAAUGGGACUCAUUUCAAACUGCCUUAGUCUUUCUGAUCCACGGGCUGUUACUAUCCGGUUGCUGGUUUCAUGUGGAGGUCAUUGUAGCUGUUCCUGGGUCUUUGAAGUUUGCACUGUUUGGACUUGGAACCGCCACCUUCCCCUGCUAUCAAUGGUGUCGUUCAGCCUUUUCCGAUGCCCCCACCCGCAACGCCCCCAUCAACAUGAUCAAGAUACAUAAUCCUCGUACCCGUCGACUUUUUGUGCGUAGGAAAUAAGGCUUACGUGCAUGCAAUCAUUAAAAUAUGAAAUAAGGUAUGCAGUCGUCAAAAUAUACUAACUUGAAAGAAAAAAUCAUUAACAACAAUAAGGUCUGUUGUGAUAUUGAUAGUAUGAUAGAUUUUUAAUUUUAAUAAUUAAAAUUUAAUAUGUGAUUUCGUUUAUAUCAUUUAUUAUGUACAGUUGAAAUUUACAUAUAAUUAAAAGAAUGCCUAUGCUUCGAUGCAAGGAUUUAAUAUUAAAUAUAUGAUGAAAGUAUAUUUUUUUAAAAUUUGGUAUUUCAUAAUAUAUUAUAAUCAUGCAAACAUAUAAAUCAUAAAACCAAGCAAUUUUGUAGCUUGAGAAACAUAAAAAGUUUAGCAAUUUCGUUGAAAAUUUUAUUUUCUUUGAAUAUCUUUGAUAAUUACUUUUGCUACUUACUUUUUUUCUUUUAAAAUUAAAAGCAAAAUGAGCAUUGAGAAAUAAAAAGCAAAUAAUAUUUUGAAAGAAUAAAAAAUUUUAAAAAAUAUUUUCUUCGACAACUUAAAACACAUAAUUUUACUUUUAUAUUGAACAAAGAUUUAUAAUUCAAUGAAUGUAAUUUUGCAUGUACACUGUAACAAAUAUAUAAGUCUAUACAAAUCCAAGAUACUCAUUCCUUAUAGAUGAUCUAAUAAGAUAUUAAACUUGUCAUUGAUGACAUGAUCCUCUCUCAUCUGCUGCCAUUUAGAUUGCCAACAAUUUCCCAAAUCUUGAUCAGACCAAUAACAAAAAGACCUUUCAAAAAAUGUUUUUAUAAACAUAGAAAUAGAAAAAUGAUAUGUUUAAAAACUAUACAAAAUAUCAAUUGUUUGAAAAAGAAAAGAUGUAUUCUGUAUGAAACCACAACAUAUUAAUCUAGAUUAAAUUUUAAGAUAAUAGAGGCUUAUACUUUUUAUUCAUAGAUUAAAAAAUCUCAAACAAAUGUGUGCUAAGCUCAAUAAAAGAUUUAACACCGCCUAUUUAAGUAUUUAUGUUAAUUAUCAAAUAAAUGCAUGACACAAUACUUGUGAGAAUUGAAUCCUACAAUAUAAAAAACCUUCAAGAGACAUUUUAACAAACACCUCUAACUCAUAGAAAAGCAUUAGACAAAAAACAACCAAAAUGGUGCUCUAGCCUUUAAAAUUUUACACCUUGCAUUCUUAAUUUGAUGUAAAUAUAAAAACAUGCUAUAAACAGUAAAAUAUCUUGGUAUCCUAAUGAAAGGGGCAAAAUUUUUUGUUCAAAUAUCUUCAACCUAAUCUCAAGUAUGAAAACAUAGUUUUUCUUUAUAUGAUUCAAAUUCACUUUAAAGAAAAAAAAUUAAAGGCUUUUAUAUCUAUAUGUAUCUCACUUUUAUCUUUAUUUUGUUUUUAAAUUAGAAUAAAUUGUAUUAAUAUAGUUAACUUUUGAAAUACUUUCAAAAAAGAAGAGCCAUAUAAGCUCAAUAUUAAUUAAUUGAGGCUCACAUCCAAUAUUCAUGCAAAUGUAUAGUAUUAGUCUCCCAACACCAAAGAAACCAUAAAAACAUUUCACAUCCCAUGACUAAAUAAUAAUACCAUGAGGCAUUUUCACAAAUAAAUUUUGUGCACAAAGACACAACCGAUAAAUUUAUCAAUUCCAUCCUAAAAUCAUAGAAACAUCUUGAACAAAGAAAAUUAAACAGUUGCAAAGUUAAAACAACGAUAAGAAAAUAUCAAUUCUUGGAAUUCAUGAAACAAAAACACAUACAAAAGAAUUUAAAAGCCAAUUUUGUAAAUGCUAGCCACAUUUUACACUAAUUACUAACCUUUGCUUAUACAAACUAAUAAAGGCCAAUAGAGAAUUGAUUAAGAUCACUUCAUACAAUUUAUGAUGCAACAAUAGUGACUAAGAAAAGCCAUUCCAUUUCCAACAAAUCCUCUCGUUAUUUUUCUUUUUUAGUAAGAGAAAUCCAGGUUAAAUAAAUUGUUUAGUUCCUCAUAUCAGAACAAAAUGUGCCAUACUAAUAGCUUAAGCUAUGUGAUAUUCGAAAUGACCCUAACAAAUGACCACCGGUAGAAUUCGAAUUCAAGAUCUCUUCAUCGAGGAAAAUGAAUCUUAACUAAUUGAGCCAACUACUUAUUGGUAAUCCUCUCACUAUUAUUCCACUAUAAGCAUGUGUCUCAUUUGACUUCCAUUAUAAAAAAACAAUAUAAUAAGUUUGUACAUUUAUAUUUUGAACGAAGAUAUUACAAAACAUAUCCCUUUAGCCUUUUAUCAUUGGUUGGAUGAAGUUCUUAAUUGUUCAAAACCAUGCUACCAAGUCAAUAAAUCUAUUACCCUACUUGUCAUAAUUGAUUAUGUAAAAAUGAUUUUUACACAUCAACGUGUCAACAACUUUUUAAAUUUGAACAAAAUCUAGUAUAUAUGAAUCAAGGUAUAUCAAGAAUGAAAAUAAUGAACCUAAAACAAAACAAAAAAAUUGUUUUUACAUGAUUAAAAAAAAAUGAAGCAAGGAUGUGAAGGAACCAAAGCUUUGAAUAGCAAAGUGUAAUAAAACAUCUAGACCAUAUAAGAAAGAAAGGUCAACCUUUCUCUAAUUUCAUAUUUAAAUUAAAUUAUAUAAUAACGUAUGGUAAAAGAAGAUAACAGAAAAAUAAAUACAUUAUAUGCACCACUAUGUAGUACUUGACAUGUAAUGUAACAAUAGAAAGAAUUUAAGAACUAAAAACCAAUAUGAGGAAAAAUAAAAGCCCAAAAGCAACUAUUACCUUCUCAAUGUUUUCCAAUAUAAAACGUUUGACUUCAAAAACUUAACCCUUCAUUUUGGUAAAUUUGUUGAUCUAAGCCUUGUAAGUCCAGUAAUCAUGUGUCAAAUAUGUAAUGUAAUAAUAAGAAAAUUUAAGCACUAAAAUCCAAAUUCUAAGAGCAACUAUUUAAAAUAAGAAACAUAGUGGGAUAAAUACUCAAAUUUUGUGCUUACGCUAUUAGUAGUAGCAAAUAUAAUCUUCCUUCCACCAUACCUUGUCAGUCUUCCUUAACUUUUUCAAUAAAUGCAUGUGUAACAAGCAAAUUCAACCAUAACUACAAUGGCUGUAACAGGAAAUUCAUUUGACAAAAAUGAGUACAUGAAACAUAUAUGGAAUAAAUUACGAGUCAUGGAAAUAAAGAAAGACAUUUUUAAUCACAUUACUUCUAAUCAUUAAAAGCCAAAUUAGACAUACAAUAGGACUCAUUACAAGAAUUUUAAGAUAUAUAAUGGGACUAAAAAAAAUCUAAAACGCGUGCUUAAAAGAAUAAUAAACUAAAAAUCUAAACUAAUUGAUCAUAAAAGUUUCUUCAUUAAUUAAGCUAAUGCAUAUGUCAAACCAUCGAUAAAUAAUGCCAAUUACCCAUUUAGUGGGAAUGAAUUUUCUAUGUUUUGCUCCUUAAAGCCUUCUUAAACUAUUGACAAACUAGUGGUAACAAUUACCUACAAAAACCAAAAUCAAAUCCAAAAAAGAACUGUGUCUAAUUGAAGAUUAAAAAGUUUCUUUUUUUUUUCUUGCACUUUCUCAAAGAAACCAAACAACACCAAAAUCUAACAAAAAUAAUUUUUUUAUUAGGGUAACAAAAAAAGCAAGUCAAAGGCCUUUUUCUUUUUCCCUUCUAUAUUCCAUUUCUUUUUCCCUCUUUUCAUUUUUCAACCCUCUUUAAACCCAUCUUUUUCCUUAUUCCCUCUUCACAUUUCAUUUGAUUCAAAGAGCGAUACUUUUUUCCUUAUAAAAGUACACAAGUAAUUUAAGCAUAAAAAUCCAACAAUUAAUAGAAACUAUUAUGUGUAAAAAAGUGAACUAUUUUACAUUCAUACAUGAUCCAUUUACCACUCCACCUCCUCUACAAUUUCAAACAAAGCAUGAUCUAUAUUGAAGUAAAAGCAAGUAGUAUGAAAUAUUCAAUUCCUUAACCUUUGGUUCUAAUAAUAGUGAUCAUGCUUCUUCCUUGAGUGUGUAUUUUGGUAAGGGUCACCACGGCUUUUCCAGAAAGGCCAGGACUAUCGGCAGAUACGCAUGGCCUACAAGCAAAGUCCCUUGCUAGGUUCCUUACCAGUCUUGUCGGUGGCAUUAGAAUUUUUUUGUUAAUGUCGUUUAGGGUCAUGUCGCCUUCAAGCCCUCCAAGUUUCACUAAUGCCAAUGGAUACACAACUCUUGUUAUCACCCUUUUCUUCUUCGUAUCAUCGCUUUCUUAAACACAUCAAAAAUCAAUGUAAAUAGUUAUGUAUACACUCUUAAGAAAAAAACACUAUGGAUUUCCUUUGUGUCAUUAGAAGAGAAUUUAAUUACCCAAAAAGGAUAUGGGGUUAGUGGAAAAUUAGUUAUCUUUGUUAAAAAAUUAUUUGAUCUUGAUUGAUCCAUUGAAAGAAGAAAGAGAUGAAUCAAGAGCUCCAGGGUUACCUGAUAUUACCUCUUUUGGUGUUUUUAUCUCUGUAACAAUGUUUGCUUCCUCACUGGUAGCUGAUGUGAUCAUUGAUUCAUUUAAAAAUAUGGUAAAAAAAAAAAAAGAGUGAAAGAAAUGAACACGAUAAAAAAAAGAAAAGCAAGUCAAAGUACAUUUUUUAUCAAUCACUAGGCAUCCAUCCUAUUUAUUUCUUUUCGCAAACUAUUUUCAACUUUUUACUCUUUCAUCACAUCAUAUUUAUUAUUCCUCUCCCAUCCAUCACAUUUAUUUCUUUUGCAUCACAUUUAAUAUUAAAUAAAAAUAUUUAUUUCCAUCUAUCACAUUUAUUUCUCUUCACAACUAUUUUCAAAUUUUUACUAUCACAUUUAGUAUUACUCUUCCAUCAUCACAUUUAAUAUUAAAUAAAAAUAUUUAUUUCUUUUCUUUCAUCACAUUUAUUAUUAUGUUUCUUAUGCUAGAAAACAUAAUUUUUUGGGUAAAAACUCUUACAUAAAAAAUAUAAUCUAAAUAAUUUUUAAAUAUAAUAUUUUUAUUUAUCAUUAAUCACAUUUUGAAAUAAAAAAACGUGAUCUUUAAUAAAUUAUUAACCACAUUUUUAAUUAAUAAAUGUUAUAGUUAUUAGCAAAGAUAAUAUUUUUAAAUAUCAUAAUUAUUUUUUUAAAUUUCAUCAAUUAUUAUAUAUUUUUUAAAAUGUAAGAAAAAAAGAGGGUGCCAUGUGGAUAUCCCUAAUGCAUUUUAUUUUUUACUACUUUAAUAUUAUGGAUGACAAAAGAUAGUAGUAGUAUUCAAUUGGAAUAAAGAGUUGGAGCACAUAAAGUUUUGGUAGGAAAAGUAAAAUUACUUUUUUUUUUUUUUAAUUCAAAGGAUUUGAAAAAAAUAUAAAAAUAGAGUAAAUUAGAAAAAAAUAAAAAAUGACAUCUUAUCAUUUAAGAAAUAAAAUAAAAAAAGAUUAAAGAAAAAAAGAAAUGUGCGUCAAAUCCAACUCUAACUAGUUCCAUUUCAAUCAAAGAAAUAAAAAAUAAAAUAAAGACAAUGACACAACAUUUGAUAAGUAAUGAAGGAAAGAACAAAUAAAAUAUAAAAAAUUGACGGGUAUAUAAAUUUAAUUAUGCUUUUAUGAAAUUAAUGGGAUUUGAUACCUUAUAAUUUAAUUAUGUUUUUAAUUUAGGUCUAUAAUUUAUAAUAUUAAAUUUAAUUAUUCUUUAUAAUUUAAUUAUGCUUAUAUAAAUUUAAUUAUGCAUUUAUAAUAUUAAAUUUAUAAUGCUUUUAUAAUAUUAAUAAAUUAUGUCUUUAACUUAAAUCUAUUUUGACGUAAUUUAAUUAUGCUUUUAUAAUUAAAUUUAAUUAUAAUUUUAUAAUUUCAUCAAAAAAUUAAUAUCAUCAAAUCACAAUUCAAAUCACAUCAAAAUUAAUAAAUUUCCUGCGAAAUAGACCUUUAAUGAACAAUUUGCGCUGCCAAAUACCUAAAAAAUGAAAAAUUUUCAAGUUUUUCUGAGCUCAAAAUUGAGAAAUUGACAUAAGAUGAUGAAGAAAAAAAAAGGCAUUUUAAUUAUUUAAUUUAACGGCCGGAGCCCGGAGCUCAUUUUUUUUCAUUUUUGUUUUUCUUAGUUUUGUGUGUAAUAAAGAAAGUCAAAGUAAAAUAUAAAAAUUACCAAAUUAUAAUAUGUGAUUAACAUAUGGCGCCAUGGGUCAGAUGGUCCUAAGAAAAAGAUUGGGCCUCAUAUUUCAUAAUUAAACAAAACAUUUAUCAAGUUAACAUCAACAUACUAAAUAUGGCUUUAAAGACUAAGUUUUAAAAGUAAAAAAAAAAAAAAAAUUGUUUUUUAUUAACCGCACCAUGAUAUAAAAAUGUAAUUUUUUUAAUUUAAUUUUUUUAUUUAUUGUCAAUCAUAUUUUGAAAUAAAAAAAUUUAAUAUUUGAUAAAUUAUCAAUCAUGUUUUUAAAUUAAUAAACAUAACUUUUAUUAGUAAAAACUAAAAUUUUUAAAUAUUAUAUCAAUUAUUACGUUUUUCACAUAAAAAACAUCAUUGAUUUAAAAAUAUUUAUUUUAUUUUGUUAUUAUUUUAAUUGAUUUACUAUAUUUCAAAUAUAAAAAAUGUAAUGCUUUUUAAAAUUAAAAAAAUUCAAAAUACUUAUUUUGUUAAAAUACUUAACUGUUAGAUCUUUGAUAUACUAAAAUCUUUACGUUUUCUUCAUUUAAUUAUAUUUUUGAAUUUUACGUUUUCGAUAUAUAAUAUAAGUAGAACUAACAGCUUAGUAUUUGAUGUUUUCCUUUCAAAAAUAUAACCACAAUUUUAGUAUUUUAAUAAAUAUAGAACUAACGUUAGUUCUUUGGUUAUAUAAGUUUUUCAUAUAGUUAAAACACUUACUUUUUAUUAUUUUAAAAAACAAAAUUAAAUAUAUAAAGACAAAAUUUAAUAAAAUAAAAAACAAUAAGUGAAAUUUAAUAUUAAAUUAUAAUAUAAUAAUAAAUGGACGAAAAAAUAGUACAUGGAUAGAAAUUUCAAGAAAUUAAGAUUUUCUUCUAUGGCAUUAUUGCAUAAUUUUUUUUUUUAUUUUGAUAUUUAAUUCUCAUACUUUUGUUUGUUUUGAAUCUCAAAUUAUAUAAAAAUUCAUAAAAAUAAUAUAACGUUUAAAGUAAAAUCUAACAAAUAUAAAUUUUGACAUUUUAAAGAUAAGAAAUGUAAUUUUUGAAUUGUAUUAAAAAAUUACUUAUAAAAGAAAAUUAUGUUCUUUGAUAACUUUUUAAUUACAUUUUUUUUAUGUCAAAUCAUGAUAUAUGUUAGCUGUUCGUGACAGAAACUUUUUACUUAUCACUCUCUCAUUCUCUCUUUGUUUAAAUCAAAGAAUAUCUACUCUUUUUUUUUUUUUUUUUAUAUGUUUUUAGAAAAAAUAAUAAAAAUAAUGAAAAAGAAAGGAAAACCGUCCAACAUCUACACGGCACUGCUAAUAAAGAAUAUUGUGCUCAGUACAUUUAUAAAAUUUAUCUUAAAGAUUGAUAAAUAAGGAUAACUUUGCCACUUAGUAGGUUGUCAGAGAAUAAAAAUUUACAUAUAAUCAGUAAGGGUAUUGUGAAUUUGAAGCACAAUUAGAAUGCAAUCUUUUACUCAUGAAAUUGUCAUAUUUGCUUCAGUUCAUACCAUGAAAAUGUCUAUUUAUUAUUCUUUACAAAUUAUAUAUUUUGAACCUACAGCUCUCUUAAUUUGGAUAUCUUAUUUGCAUUGACUUUGUUAAGAUUCUGACAAAGAAAACAUUAAUGAGGGAAGAAAAAUUAGCUAAAACCUGAUAUAUACGAGAAACCCUCUGUCUUUUUCUCUGAAGUUUCCAUCCAUUGAUUAUUAAGAGAACUAGCACCAGCUGGCUCACAAGUUGUUAUAAACUCGUUCUCAAGUCUCAACUUCAACUAGUCUCUAUCCAUCCUGGAAGCUUCAUACUAUAGCUAGACUAUAUAAAAGAAGAGGCCCUGCUAAAACUAGGGGCAUCAGAAAUGGAUUUCAAUUAUUGCCUUCUUGCUUUACUUAUGUUAAAUGUCCUUCUAUUUUCACAAUGUAAUCUCACAGUCCAGGCUGCGGAAUCUAUUUCUGGCUCACCCCCGGAUCCAAUUCCUCCACGUGAUGUUUGGAAUAAGUUGAAAGUUGUGUCCAAGAGGAUUCAGGCAUCAUCUCCACCAUCACCUAGGAUUAAUGCUCCUUAUCACUUAAAGAGUCCUCCUCCAUCUCCUCGACGCCCUCCACCACCAUCCCCACCACGAGCACCACCACCACCACCUUCAUCCCCGUGCCAACCACCCAUAUGAUUUUAGCAUGCUACCUUCUAUAUCAAGAAUAGUUUAUCAGAUACUUGGCCCUAAGGUUACAGUUGAUAAAGCUUUAGCGUCUGGAGCUUUUAUUUUAACUUAAAGUUAGUAAGUUUGUGAAGAUUUUAAGGCAAUUCCCCAUCUUCUGUAAGAAUUAUUACUAUUAUUAGAACAUUGUUCCGAUAAUUGCUCAUAUUUAUUUUUGAACUUUGAUAAUUGCUCUCCAUUUCCUUUUCGUUCAAUCUCACAAGAAGUUGUAUCUACAUAGCUAGAACAUUGCUCUAGCAACAAACAAAAUCCUGCUCCUAGCAAAGCUACAAAUUUGGGACUGUAUGUGCCUUCAAUUUUUUUGGAUAAAUGAAUGUGUUUUUAUUCAUCCAAAAAGCAAUACAAAGAAUUUAGUUUAUACAUGCGUAACUUUUAAAAAUAAGGAAGGUGAGACAAGACAAACAUCAACUCAUCAAGAUUCCAAUUACUACAAAGAGAUCGAUUAACAGAACUAUAGCCUAUAACGAAUACCAAUCCUGAUGAGUUGCAUGAUAGUUACAAAUUUUAGUUGAAGAGAACUAAUUAUAAAUGAAUCUCCAUGCAUUUACACCUGACCACCCGAAAGUUUCACAUAAUCUAUCAUGCCAAAUCUUCCCUGUUGAAGGUAAAGUUUAAGGAGGCUUGGCCUAGAUAUAUGCUCAAUUACAUUUAUCUGUACUGGCCUAAAAAUUUAGAUUGCAUGAUUUAUAAGGACCAUCUAUUCUCUUGUGCAGAUAGAAACAGGAAAUUUGUUUUAGCACAUGGGAAAAUUGGGGAUGGGUAUUUCGUUGAAUUUUAAGCCAUUAUAACGAGUCAAACAUUUGGAUUUUGAUUCCCAAUUAAGGCCCCAAUAUCAAAAAAUCUAUUAAUUCGUUUGAAAGUUGAGUAUGACUAAACUGUCCUUAUGUGUGUUAUUAUGAUGUUCUUGAAACAUAAGUGAUUAUAGCAAUUUUUUCAUUGUGGAACCGCAGGAACUGCUGUUUAAAUAGCAAUACCAAUCCUAGUUUUCUGAUUUUUGGACCAAACUUUUGGCAGGGUCAUUUGGGGCAUAACCCUUUUGGACAGAAAAAGAGGGUGGGGGGGGUGGGGGAGGUUUGGGGGGCAGGCCGCCAGGGCUUAGUUGUGAAUUUCUCAGGCGACGGGAAACAGGAUUUCUACCUCCUAAGGGAACUACAGGAUCGUUGAAUCCAAAGCUGUCUGUUUCCUUGGAUUUAAAUAAUGUAAAUUUAUGUUGUUGAUAAUCGCAAUACAAACAAAGAUGACUUAUUUAGAGGAGAAAAACAUGUACAAAUGAAUUAUUGGGAUGAAAAAAGUCUACCCUCUGGCUCGAAGAUGUCUCUGAGAGAAAAUCAUAUCAUCUUUCCUUGAGUUUGAGAACCAGAAACAGAUGGAUGUUAUCAUCUUAAUAAUUAAUCUACAAAUGCAAAUGUUGUAGACCUCAGAAAACCACUUUAGUCUCAGAAGUAUAAAGAUAGUUUCAAACAAUAUAAUCUAGGAAAACAAUGGAGAUAAUUAGGCCUAACACAUCGAAAUGUCAAAUUUCAAACAAUAGAGACGAUUAAUCGACUCAAAUUACUUAGGAAAACAUGUUCAGAAUUGUCUAGCCUUGCACAUGUCUUGUAAUAUGACUUACCGUGGUCAUGUAUGAGACUAAUUUUCACAUCCACGGUUGCUUGGUUGUAGUUGAAAUGAACCACCUUAUUCUCUAAAACAGACGUGCAAAUGCCCGUUUUCUAGCACUCAAAGAGUGGUGAUUAUAAAAAUCCAAUUUAUAUAUAAUUGUGCCUACAUAAUUUCCAUUUUCCUUGGCCUUUAUGGAAUACAGCUCAGUCUUUCAGCCUAGGGUUUCAACAAUUUACGCAUACGGUAGCAAACUCUUCAACCGAGAUAUGAUCAGUUGACAACAGCAAGCCAACAAAAACUUCAGCUUUUAUAAGAAAAUGUUAGCUUAUAAGUUUGCUUUAAAGCAAAGGAGUUCUGAAGAAGUAAUUAACUUUGGUUUUUUCAUGGAUAUUUCUCCUUCUUGCUUGCUGCUACUCAUGCUUAUCCAUGGCUUGGUGUUGCAAACUUCUCAUCCUAGUGGAAAGCUUGCCGUAAUGGCUAAAGCUCUGGAUAUUCAUGAUAGGGAUACAGUCGAAGCUGAGUCAUCCAAACUCUUUGCCCAAAGGAAGGUAGACAUUGUUGGCAGAAAAAUUGGGAAACCAAACCCAGUAAGGCCUAGCUCUCCAAAGCCUAAUGAAGCUGUCCAUUGGUCUCAACCUCCAGAAACGCCUCUAAGAGCACCAUCACUUCCACCACCGCCACCACCUUAUAGUCCAUGAAUUCCAUGUAUUUCCCUUUUUAUUAUUUCCUCCACCUGAUGAAUAAUUUUGUGUUAUUGUUAAAUCUGUUGUCUUUCAUCUUUUCCUCAGAAUAUCUGUUAUUUGGACUUGGAUAUAAAAAUUUUUCAGCAUUGUGAUUGCUGUUGGUUAUGGAUUUGUCCUCCUGAUUUCAAUAUUUUUAGUCAACAAGAUUUUUUUUUUUCAGAACUAAGAAAUACAACCUAUAGAAAUUGAAAGGUACCUUCAUUAUAGUGGUUUGAGCAAUAUAUUUGAAUAUAUUGCAACUUGAGAUUAAGCCACUAGGCCUAGGCAUAUAAAAGAUCAUAUUCUUCUUGGUGUUUGAAAGCAUAGGAACCAAAAAUGAAUGUCAAUUCAAGCCCGCUUACAUUCCUGUUGAUCCACCGCCUCCUACUUUCACACCGUGCUUACAUCGUCAAGGCUGCUAGAUCUGUUUCAGAGUCUUGGUCAGAGGCAGUUCCUCCCCAUGAUGAGUUGAAUGCGGUAUCCAAGAGGGCCAUUGGCACACUGCCACCACCAGCACCUAUGUUCAUUCAUGGUUUUUCUCACCUGAGUCCUCCUCCUUCGGCAUCUCCUCCACCAUCUACAUGAGUCCUCCACUCCCUCUAGCUCCUUCACCACCGUCACCCCAUCACUUCAUGUUUCAGAAUCUUUAAUUAUUGUAACUUUGAUUUGGUGUACCGUCAGUUGUAUGUAAAAAGAUCAGAGACAAUCUGUUUCUCUUUAAUUAUUCCAUUAAUUAAUCAAUGAUCCGUUUCUAUCUCUCUCUUGCUGGAAGCUGUAGUGAGAGCAGCAGGGUGCUGAGCCUAAUAUUCUCGUUUCCAUUCAUCUUAAAUGAGUUCUGAUGACCAUGAAUUUUUUUUUUUUUUUCAUUCUAAUCAGAUAAUAUUGAAUCCAGUGACAAUUUUGUGACAUCUUAUCAUCAAUUUCAUAAUGAUAAAUACUUGAUAUAAUACUGAAAAAACAAAAACCAUUUCUACAAUACAUUUUCUUCUACAAUUCACAUUUUUGCAAUUCAUUAACUUCCAGCAUUUAGACAUCAAGUUGUUUCAUGUUUUUUCUAGAUGUGUUGAGCAAUUAAUCAAAUUCGUUCUUCAAUUUACAAGAAAAGAGAGCAUUACUAUCUUAUAACUAGACUAAAGAAUCUAUAUCCCAACUCAUGUGCAACAAUUAAUUGAAAAUGUGUCACUGAUCUUGAAAUUGAAACUAGGGUUUGAUUAAAGGGACCGUGAAAACAAUAUUCAAUCAGAGAAUUUAGGAUUAAACAGAGGGGAAGCAAAGCAGAAAUCUCGUUGGUGUUCAUACUUUUGAUCUAACUCGGUAAUAGAAAAGUGGGUUACGAACCAAACAAUUACUUUUGCUCCUGGUUUGAGAGGAGCCUUAAAAGUUAAUUUCUAUCAGUAUUCAACCUAGCUCUUAUAAAAGGAAAAAGUAAAGGAAAAAAACCACGCAAUUUCUCUUUGGCGCAUUUUUCAGGUUUGAAAGAGAAUUUGUACCUGGUUCUUGCACAGAAGACACAGCCUAUAACGUAUUCAUUAGCACAAGAAACACCCACUUAUACUCUACAUGGUAUAUCCUCAUCUACUCUUCCCUGAGAAUUGGCCACCUAUUGUAGUUACCUAUCUCAAUCUCAUGGAUAGCUAAAAUUAGCUUCACCAAGGCAUGCCCUCAUCACAACAGUCUCCACAGAUUCACCAGUCUUGUCCCAAAUCGUUCCGAAAUACUCCAUGCUAGACCUAACAAUGUUACUUCCAAGUUCAACAAUAACAUCAUUGGGGACUAUUCCGGCACGGGCAGCGGGGGACUCUGCUGCAAUCUGUUCAAUCAUAACAUCAUAGGAAAUGUGAGGGAAGUACUGUUGAAUUAUAAUUUCCAAAGUAUCCAAUUCCACUGAAUAAAGAUCAGUAAAUUUCAUCCCAAGACAUGGAUGAUGGACUUUGUUUUGUUUCUUUAAGCACUUCAAGCAUCUAAAAGCUAUGUUCAUAGGAAGAAAAGAAGUGUAGUUCCAAUGAUAGAAGUUGAUCCCAAUGAUUUCUCCUUGACAAUUGAUGAUAGGUCCAUCAAUGUACCCCUCACUACUCAUCCCACAGUCUGCCUUGCGAAGUCCCUGGCAAUCAGAUUCAUCACACUUUUCCAUACUAAAUUUACCUAAAAUAAAACAAUUUAACUGUAAUGUACCAAAAAUAACAAUGUAAUUAUUCCUACAACAAAAUAACAAUGUAAUUAUAAGGCAAAAUCCUAUCAAUUAUCCUAAUAGUUUUUUUUUUCAAUAUUUUUCUCACUAUGUUCCAUGUAUCAUUCAAGUUGGGAAAAAUCAGCUUUGAGGUUGAACAAAUGAUAUUUAAUCUUGGACCUGACUCAAAUUAUUAUUUUAGCAAUUAAAAAAAUAUUUAUUUAAAUUUAAUUUCAAAAUAUAUUUUAAAUAUUAAACAAGCUUAAUUGGAUUCAAAGGGACGGACCAGACCUUGGUUUAAUUGAACCAUACAUGUUGAUUUAUAAAUCAAUAUCUCAAAUUCAAAUCAUCCAAAUCCAAAUUUGAACCUUGAUUUUUUAGUUUCAAGAAAUUAAGUGGUAGACUCCAAACGACUUGCUCAACCAUUGGAAUUGUCUAGUGAUUAAAUGAUCCAACUUUAACAGAGUAAAAAAGAAGCAGCAUGCUGCAACCCAAACAAUCAAAUCCAAAUUCACAUUUGCUCAUAUAACUGUUAAGAAAAUAUCAGGAAAUUAUUAAAGAGGAAAUUGAGGCUAGAUGUUAGAGAAAGCGCUUUUGUUGUCUUUGUCAAAGUUGGUUCAUAGGUCUAAAACGAUUAUUGUGGUUACUAUUCAACUUUUCAUCCAUUUGUAAGUCUUACGUUUGAAAUUAGAAUCUUGAAAAAGCAGACGUUUAGAAUUUAUGAGAUGAAAGAAAUAAAAGUCCUGCACCAAAAUUCUAGUUAUAGGAGAAACAUUAAUUCCUCCUAACCUAAACCUGAUGAAAUGAGAUGCCACUUUGUGCAUGGUUCUAGCUUGAACAAAUUUCCCUAUAAAACAAUUAAUUCAGAUAUGCAAUAACUAGAGAAGUUUUCAUUGCCCAACUACCCAACCCCUUUGUCUAAACAUUGGAGUGGUCUUAACACUUCAGUUGAAUCUUAUUUCAAUUGGGCUUGUGAAUAGAGGUGGUGACCAAGCUUCAAUGACUUGCUUAAUUAAACCCUAAAACCCAAUCUGAACCUGGAUUUUUAUCUUCAACAAAUCAGGUGCAUGUGGUAAUUUCCUACCCAAAUCUAAACGGCAUGAAUAACGUGUGGUUGAACUUGUGGCUAGAGAGGUAGGAAAUGAAAAAGAUGAAGCAAGGUCAAAUGACUUACUCAAUCGUUUGAAUUGUCUAGUAAUCAAUUAUCUAAAUGUGAAAUGAUCCAAGUCUAAACUUAAACUUAUGAAACUCAAAUAUGCAAAUCCAAAAUUCACAUUAUAACUUAAAAAAAAUUUUAGAAAUUAAUAAACAGUGUUGGAGAAGGCGGUUUUGCUGUUCGUCCAAAAGGACACUAAUGGUUACAAUUAAACUUUUGAUUUACAAGUUUUAGAUUGAAAUCUUGAAAAGCAAAGGUGAAAUUUAUGAGAAGAGAGAAAUAAAAAUCCUUGCCCAAAAUUCACAAAGCGUAUAUGAUAUAUAACAUUUUUUAUGAGAUAUCUGUGUAGUUUAUUGACAAUUUGUACAUUUAUAUAAUAACAAUAUAUCAAAUAAAAACCUGAAUUCCAUAAGUAUUGAUAUUGGAAUAGAAACGAAAGUAUUUUUUUCAUGGCAAAUACUGGCAUCAUUCAUUUUCAUCCCAUUGAUCCAGUCUAACCAAAGCAAUUUGAUUGGAAAUUUCCUCAGGUGGACCAAUGUUAAUUUGACUGACUACUUUUGUUGGCAUUGUAACCAAUGAGUUACCAAAGGCGUUUCCUAUAUAAUGGGUAAUUUCCAUACAAAGAACACCAUACAUUUUUAGUGUCCAUAUCAUACUGGAGAACCGUGUUGUCUCUAGCCAUUAAGAAAUGAAUGCAAGUUCUUGCCUACUGAUUUUUAUGUUGAUCUUUGUUGUCCUACUUUCACAUGAUAAUAGCAUGAUAGAGGCCACUAAAGGUGUAUCUGGUUCUUCCUUCGACGGAAUUCCUUCCCAUGACCUUCCAUAUAAGUUCAGUGUCGUGUCCAAAUUGCGGCUAAGACCCAGCCAACCACCGCCUCCUCCGCCUAGGCGCGGUCCUACUAUUCAGCCGAGAAUACUGCCUCCUCCACCAACAACACCAUUGCCACCACCUAUUUCAACUUAGUCUGCAACCUUUAGUCGAUGCCGAGCAAAAAGGAACAUGUAAUUGUUUGCCAGUUGACGUAUAUGCAUUUUAUGAAACAUUUAUUUUUAAGUUAUUUUUUGAGCACAUAAAAUAGUGUAACUUAUAAUUUCGAGUUUGUAACUGUUCUAAUACAAUAUAUAUCUAUUCUGAAAUUUCCGAUGAAUUAUAAAAUGUCAUCCUUAAUUUAGUUAGCAUCAUUAAUUUAAAUCAGUUUUUAUUAAAAUAAGAAUUUUUCUUUGACUUUUUUUACUUAAUUUAAUCGGAUUUAAAUUUUCAAUCAUUAAAAUUAAGAAUUUACGCAACUAUUAAUUUUUUUUAUGACUUUAAAUCCUAACUUUACAUCUUUUCCCGUUGCAUAAACAUGACAUCGAUACAUGUGCUUGGUCUUGAAUGUAAAUUUGUCGUCACUAGUUAAAAAUUUUCCUCAACGUUUUCACACUAAUUUAAAAGAUUGCUUUUAGUAAAAGAAACCAAUCAAAUCAAGCCAAAUAAACAGAUCAACAUAGAUAUUGGACGAAAGCUACAGAUGAUAAGAUUUAAGGUGCCGUGACUUCUUCCAACAAAACUGAUAAGACUUUAUGGCUCCAUGCAUGAAUUCUUCCAACCAAACUUCGUUCAAGUGUAAACUUAAAACUGCAAUAUUAAAUUAGUUUACACCAAAUUAAUUUAUCAAUAUUUUCAUAAUGGGCAAACUUGUAAAUUUCUUUGGUGAAUAAAUGUGCGACCUUUUUGUUCUGGUCUAAAAGAAAACUUUUCAAUACAAUGAUCUAGCUCCGAUUAAAGAGUCAACAAAAUAUACGUUAGUUUGUUCAAAAUUCAUUGGCUAGAAAAAAUCUAAAAAGAACAUUAAUUUAUACUAUUUGAAUGUGUUGUAGACACCAAUUUUGAUUGUUAUAUUUUUUUAUUAAUAUUAAUAAUAAUAUUAUUAAAUAAUUAAUUAAUUUAAAAAAAAAAUAAAAAAAAUAAAUAUUUUGGUUUCAACUCUAACAGUGAAAAUCAAGUUGUCAAAGUGACAUUUUCUUUAUGAUAUUACCUAAUUUGGCAGCCUGAAAUCUGGUGACCAAAAGUCACUGUAUAGACACAAAUUUUUCACAAAAAAAAUUUCAGAAGAUCUGUGAUCUUGAAUCCCAAAAGCUCUAUAAAUAGAGCUAAGUUUUGCAAAAAUAGAAGGACACAGAGAAUAAAAAAAGGAAAAACACAAUAAAAAAAAUAGCAAACACAAAAAAAAAAUUUUUGAGAAUAAAAUUCUGGAUCUAGAAAGUUUGAGAUUUUUUUUGAAAAAUCUAGACUUGGAAAAGUGUUUAGAAAGCAAAAAAGAUUAUUGGAUGAAUUUUUGAGAAGUUUUGAAACAAUUUUUAAGUCGUCGAAAACUGAAAAAAUUUGAAUUUUCUGGUGACCGUUGAAUUUUUCAACACUAGAAUCCAAAAAAGUUUAAAUUUUUGGGUGACCAUUGAAUUUUUUGGCCACUAGAAUCUAGGGACCUCUGAAUUUUUCGACACCAUUGAAGUUUUCGGUCAUCAAUGCAUGGCAGCAACCGACUGAAAAUUGGGCUCUAUGGCAAUCGGCAUAAGGGCUGAGUUUUCUAAAUAGAGGAGCUCUGGGUAGAGAGAGAAAGGGGAAAUGAGAAAAUAAAGAAAAAAAUAAAAAAUAGGCCUUUUAUAGGCCUUUCAAAACGAUGUCGUUUGGGAUGUUUGGAACGAACCCGACCUGUACAAGAUUUGUACGUUGACCCGAUCCGUUUCAUAAGUUUUUUCUUUUUCUUUUUAUUUUUCAUUUUGAUUUUGAUUUUUAUGUUAUUUUUUAUGAUGUUAUUAUUAUUAUUAUUAUUAUUAUUAUUAUUAUUAUUAUUAUUAAAAAACAAAUAAAUAAAUAGAAUAAAAAAUGAAACUAAAAUAAAAUAAAGACCUAAAAAAAUAUAAAUAAAAAAAUUUAAUAAUAAUAACUAUUUAAAGGAAAUAAAUUCUAUUACAAGCAAAAAUAUUAUUUAAAUUUCACCAAAGUGUUGGGAUAAUUUUAAAAAAUAAUUUUUGCUAAAAAAUAAAAAAUUAUAAAAAAUAAAAUAAAAAAAUAAAAUAAAAAAAUUGUUUAAAUGAAUCUUUUAAAUGUAAUUUUUAGAGAAAGCUAAAAGAGUUUAAUUUUCUUUAAUUAUUGCAAGUAAAAAUAAUUUUUUUGAUUUCACCGUAGAGUCGGGAUAAUCCAAAAUUGUUUUUACUAAAAUAAAGAUUAAUUUAAACAAUGUAAAACAAUAAUAAAAAAAAUAAAAGAAUGAAAUUAAUAAUAAUUGAUAUUUUGAAUUUUUUUAAAUAUAUAUAUAUAUAUAUAUAUAGAAAAUUGAAAGAGUUCAAUUUUCUUCAAACAAGAUAUUAAUAUUUAGAUUUCACCAGUGAGUCGAGAUAAUCUAAAUUAAUAUAAUUUUUUUUAUAAAAAAAAUAAUUAAAGAAUAAAUAAUAAAUUUUUAAAAAUAAUCAUAAUAAAGAUAAUUAAUUAAUUCCUUUAACUAAAAAAAUGAUUUUAUUUAGGGUCUUGCCAAAAUUGAGAUAAUCUUAAAAUUUGUCUAAAAUUUUUUAAGAUUUUAUCGAAGAGUCAAGAUAAUCUUAAAAUUUAUUUAAUAAAUUUUUAAAGAGUCGAAAUAUUCCUAAAGUCAUUUUUAAAACAAAUAAACAAAAUAUCUUAUGAAAAAAUUUCGAGAAUUUUGUGAAUGGUAAUUUUCUUGAAAUAUUUACUAAAUAGUGAUUUUCUAUAAAUUUCACCAAAGCAUUGGAGAAUUUAUAGAAUACAAAAUAAUAAUAAUAAUAAUAAUAAUAUUGUUAAUUUUGAAACAGAGAAAAAUAUUUUAAAAUAAAUUUUAAGAAAUUAAACUUAAAUAAAAAAAGACCACGUUAUUAAAAUUAUAGGAUUACGCAUGUUUAAAUGGUACUGUUCUUCGAACGGGCAAUGUGAGGGUGUUAAUACCUUCCUCACUUAUAACUGUAUUCUCGAACCUAAUUUUGAUUUUGUAGAUCUAAACUUCUUUUAGCAAGUUUUAAUUAAUUUUAAUAUUUUUACUAAAAGAUUAUAUUUUGGGUGGCCAAUCACACCCUAUAAAAAGAUUGGUGGCCACUCCGAAAAUUUUCACCAAGUCUAGCAAUCGAGUCCCCUUGGACGAAAAAUCGUUAUGACAGCUUGGCAACUCCACUUGGGAUGCCUAAGAGUCAAGCCAAAAUAAACAUGCGUAAUCCAAAUUUUGAUUUUAUGGUCUUUUCAAUAUUUAAUUUAAAUUUUUUUAUCUCCAAAUAUUAAUUUUUUUGGUUUCAUUUGGUUUUGAUAUAUUAUUAUUUUAUAUUAUUGCUAAUUAUAUUGUUAAUUUUAUUUGUUACAUUCCCUCACACACGUGCACAUUUGCAUUCAUGCACGAGCUCUAUAUCGAAGCUCUCAAAGCUUUCCCUUUUUAGGAGGGAGUAGAGUACCUACGCUUUUGUGAGGUUAUAAUGCCUUUGCUUGAGCUAGCGAAAUACUUUCACUCAAGUUGAACCUUUUCCAUCGGUAGCCCAUUAUGGUUGAGGAUCGAGGGCCUUACUAGUCCAGAGUGGAUGAUAGUAAGGAUCAAUUUGGGAACCCUUUUAGCCUAUGUUAAUUACCAAACCAUGCAUAUAGUGAACCUUAAGAAACUAACCUUAGACAGGGCCAUACCAUUUUUGUAUAUUAUACCCUAAAUUAGGACACAUGAGGGAAUAUUUAUAUUAAUAUGAUUACUAAUCGUAUUUUGUUUUGCUCUCCUUUUGUUUCAUGAUCAUGCAUCAUCAUAAACACUUGUAUAUGAGAUGUGCUUAUCAAUAUGCCAAUAUCAGUAAGAAGAUUUUUAGUCUUGCUUCGAAAACACCAUCAUGAUGUUCUUAGUUUUGAAGCUCACUGUAUGUGAAGAGAUCAAUGUGGUGAUAGCUUUAUCAUUAGAAACCCAAAGUAAAAUGGAAAAUUGUUUGAAAGAAUUUGAACAAGAAAUUUUGCCUGAAGAAAUCAAGUUAGGACUUUAACAAAAUGACAUCUUUGAGUUGGCCAAGAUAUGGCGCUGUGUAACAACUUCUAGAAAGAUGGCUUUCGAAGAAAAAUAUGAUCAUAUUGCUUCAUUGCUUGAGGUGCCUACUAAAAAUCAGUUGAUAAGAGCUUUAGUUCAGUUUUGGGAUCUUGCAUAUAGAUGUUUCAUUUUCAACGAAAUAGAUAUGAACCCGACGAUCAAGAAUAUACUACAUUGUUAUGGUUGCAUCUUCUCAAUCUAGACAAAUCUAUUGACGAAGUCAAAAACUUGGGUCUCGAAAGAAACUCGCCUGUAUGAUGGAGGUCUCUACUCAUAAUGUGAACUCAUAUAUCCAAACAAAAGGUAAAAAUGAUUGCAUCCCAUGAGAAAUCUUACAUGAUUACAUCAUCAAACACUUAGAGGAUGAAUGAGGCAUGAGAAUGAUAGCUUUGGUAAUUUAUAGCUUGAUCAUCUUUUCGAAGGUCCGAGGGCACAUUGAUGUAUUAGUGAUUGACUUUCUCAAGCAGGUGGACAAUAAAAUCAAUCAUAUUCCUUUUAUACUAGUAGAGACCUUUAGAUCAUUGAAUCAUUAUUAAAGAUCCAAAUUUGAUACGUAUUUUCAAAUCUUCAAAAUCUUGAAACCUUAACUCUUAAAACCUCGGCUUAAGCUCUAACCAAAAUUAUCUCAAAAUCUUAAAGACACAUACGAAAAUCUUAAGUGGAGUAAUUUGUUCUCGAAUGCUGCCUAGAUAAUGGGGUAUUUAAAGAAAUCUUAUUCCAUUAAGUUUUUCUCAUGAGUCCUAACCAAAACUAUCUCAAAAUCCUAAGGACAUGUGUGAAAAUCUUAAGUGGAGUAAUUUGUUCUCGAAUGCUACCUAGAUGAUGAGGUAUUUAAAGAAAUCUUAUUCCAUUAAGUUUUUCUCACGAGUCUUUAAUUCGCUUUAAUAAUGGGGUUAAUAAUUGUUUAAUAAAAAAAUAAGAAUAAUAAUAAAAUAAGAUUUUAAAUAUAAAUAGUUACACCUAAGCUCUGCCUAGAUGUUGAAAAGUCAAGGUGGUCUCAUUAUAUUUCAAGUUUGCAUUCCAUCAUUAUACAUAGUAGUUAUUAGCUUACAUGCAUUUAUUUGUUAUUGUUUGCACUUGUUUGCAUUUCUCUGUCUUUAAUUUCUACUUGUUACCUGAUAACACCAUUAUUUACUUUUUCAUAUAAAAUGUGUAAUUUUAAAACAAAAUAAAAAUAGCAUUUCAAAGAAAAUAAUUCUUGGUACUCUAUCUAGAUGUUAUAGAGUCACCAAUAAUUAUCUUCUAUAAAGAGUGUUAUUUCAUUUUAAGGAUUGUUGUGUUAAAUUUUAAGCGAAAAGAAUCAUUUUAAAUUCUGCCUAGAUGUUGCAGAAUUUUAAGAUAAUUCUUUAACUUUAAGAUUUUUUCAAAUUUCUUAGUAAAAAAAUUUUAGCAAAAAUAUUUUUUUAAACGAAGGGAAUUAGUAUUAAACAUCAAAUUGAAUCCAUUUUAUCCAACACUGAAAAUAGCGCAUAAUUAAAUAGUAUCAAUUUAUGGGCGUUAUGGGGGUGCUAAUCCUUCCCCACACGUAAACGACUCCCGGACCGAACCUGAUUUUUCGUACCCAACCUGAUUUUUCGUAGAUCAAAAUUUAUCUUUUUCAUAAACUUUAAACCUGUUUUUAAAGUUUCAUUAAGAAGAUAAACUUUUGGGUGACCAAUCAUACCCUAAAACAGAUUGAUGGCGAGUCUCAUUUUAUUUUUUCCUAUUAUAAAAUAUUUUACGUCUGACGGUCCCAAAGCCAUUACGACAUUUAGAGGAGCCUUUUAUCUUUUAAAAGUUAUUGUGCCUCUAUUUAAAAGAGCCUUUUAUUUUUUAAAAGUUGUGGUGCCUUUAUUUAGAGGAGCAUUUAUUUUUUAAAAGUUGUGGUGCCUCUGUUUAAAUGAGCAUUUAUUUUUCAAAAGUUGUUGUGCUGUUUUUUAAAAAAGCAUUUAUUUUUUCAAAAGUUAAAAAGUUGUGGUGCCUCUAUUUAAAGGAGUAUUUAUUUUUUAAAAGUUGUUGUGCCUCUAUUUAGAGGAGCUUUUUAUUUUUCAAAGUUGUUGAGCCUUUGUUUAGAGGAGCUUGAUUUAUUUUAAAUAAGUUUUUAUGUUAUUCAAAGAGUCUGAGUAAAAAAAAAAAACAAAAACAAAAAAAAAGCAUCGAGUUGAUUGGGUUAUUUAUGUCUUUGCACAAUUCUUGUUUUACAAAAAAUGUGUAAAGAAAGAUAGUUGUAGAUACCUCAAUCUGUCCAAGAGUCUAUUUUUUAUUUUUGCUAAUAAAAAAAAAAUAGGUAGUUGAGUUUGUGUGAAAUUGUUGGAAUUAAUUUGUAAAGUUGGAGUUGGGUUUAAGUUUGAAAUUCAAAAGAAAUUGAGAUUCCUUUUUGGAUUGAAGUUUUCAGAUUCAAAACCCUAUAAAUACAUGCUCACACAGAUACACAAACAUGAAAAAAAUUAGGAAGAGAGGUAGAAAUCAGAGAAAGUAGUCAAGAAAAUUUUUUAAAGACUUUUUGGGGUUUUAAAAAUUAUUUUUGAAAAAAAUCUGAAAAAUUCUCAUAUUCCGAUGACUUUUGCCAAUCUUUGUCUCAAGCCAAGCCAAGCCAAGCCAAGCCACUUUUUAAGCCAUUCUAGCUUUACUUCCUAUAGUCGAGCCGCCUCAUGUUUUGGGUAUUUUUUUCACUUUAUUUAUUUAUUUUAGGUUUUUUUGCAUGAUUAAAUUUAGAAAAAGAAUAAAAAAAUAAAAUAUUUUUUUGAGAAUAAAUAUUAAUUAUUCAAUGAUGAAAUUUAUGAAAACUUCAAAUGGUAAAUUUCUAUAAAAUUUCUAGAUGAAAAAUUUUUAUCUAAAUUUGUUCCAAAUAAUGGAAUAAUUUAGAUAAAGUUUUAAUAACAAUAAUUAAUAUUUAUUUUAAAAAAAAUAUAAAAAUAUAAAAAUUACUAAAAAUUGUUGAAACUAAAUACAAAUUACCCAAAAAUGAGAUUCUUAGAAAUUUCAAAUGGUAAAUUUCUAAGAAAUCUCUAAGUGAAAAAUUUCUCUAAAUUUAUCCGAAAUGGUGGAAUAAUUUAGAUGAAAUUUCAAUUAAAGUAAUUGUAUUCUUUUCCAAAUUUGGUUGAAAAUAUUUGAUAAUUAUCCAAUGAUGAGAUUCUUAGAAAUCUUAAAUGGUAAUUUUCUAAGAAAUCUUCAGGUCAUAAAUUUUUUUAAAUUUCUCCCAAAUGGUGAAAAAAUUUAAAUGAAAUUUUAAUAAAAAUAAUUAUCAUAUUAUUUUCUUUCCAAAAAAAAAAAGAAAUAAAAAGAAUUUCUAAAUAGGCCAAAAUGGUGGAGAAUUUAAAAAUUCAAAACAAGAAACUAUUUCUAGUUUGGACCAAAUUGUGGAAUAAUUAGAUAUAUUUUCAACAAAAAAAUAAUUAAACUUUUUUUUCGACGGCAGAGCCUCUUCAAAAAAUCAAAUGAGAUUUUUGAAUACUCUUGAGGUGAGAAAAUAUUUUUAAAAAUUCUACCAGACUGAUGAAAGAAUCUUAUAAAUUACUUUCAAUAUUUCAACAUAAAAAUUUAAAACUAUUAGAACUGAUACCCUAUGAUGAAUUUAAAAUAAUAUGGUAUAAUCCUUCGGAUGCACAUGUGAGGGUGCUACUAUAACCUUCUUUACAUAUAACCAAACUCCCAAACCCUAUUCUAUUUGUAGACCCAAACCUCUUCUUUUAAGAACCCUUAGUUAAGAGCUUCUUAAAAUGAUAAAUUUCUUAGAUAGUCAAUCACACCUAGAUAAAAAAUAUUGGUGGCGACUCCAUCCAUUUAUUAAGUCUAGCUAUAGAUUUACGGAUCUAUAUGUUAUGAAAAUUCUAUUUUUGGAAAAUAUAAAGAUUUUUGUUGUAUAUAUAUUGAUGAUAUUCUUGUUUUUUCUUCAAAUUUAGAGCAACAUAGAAACAUCCAAAUUUAAUUGCUCAAGAAUUUAUUGAACAUGAAAUUAUUUUAAGUCCUAAAAAGAUAAAGCUUGAAGAAACAAGAAAUAGAAUUUUUAGGGUUAAAUUUAUCUAUUAAUGGUCUUACUUUACAAGAUCGUAUUAUUGUAAAAAUUAAUGAUUUUCCAAAACAACUAGAGGAUAAAAUUAUUUACAAAAAUUUCCUGGUCUUUUAAACUAUGGUAAACAAUUUAUCAAAAAACUUUCUACAAAAAAGAAAAAGUUCUACAAGAAAAAUUGAAAAAAAAUUCCUUUUCAUUGGACAAAACAAAAUGCUGAUAUUAUUAAAUAAAUAAAAUCAUAUCUUAUUUAUAUUUCAAAAUUUAUCUCCCUAAAUCAGGAGAGUGACUUAUUUUAGAAACAGAUAUUUGAGAUUAACUCUGUAUUCUCAAGGAAAAAGUCCAAAAAGAAGAAUUAAUUUGUGGAUACAAUUUGUGUAAAUUCAAACAAAAUGAAAUCAAAUAUAUUAUAUUUGAAAAAAAGUUGCUUGCCAUAAAAAAAAUGCAGUAACUAGAUUUCAUGUUUUAUCUAGCACCUGAACCCUUUAUUAUUAGAACUAAUAAUUAAGCAGUAUGGGGAUCUUUUAAAAAAUAAAAAAUUAGAUACUAAUCCUAUAAGAAUUAUAUGGUAUAAUUUUUUUAUGUCAAUACAAUUUUACUAUUGAAUAUAUUAAAGGAACUAAUAAUAUUUUUGCUAAUUUUUUGAUCAAGCUUGAUAGAUAGAGGCAAAAAACCUCUUGAAAAGCAAGGUGAAUGGAUUACCAUCCAUAGGAAGCAAUCUAAACCCAAGAUUACUUCUUUUCAAAUUCUUAACCUGGGAUUCCAACCAAUUCCAUAUCCUCAAGGAUAUUUUAUCAACCUCAACCAUACUUUUCCAUUCCUCAACCUUCAUUACAAUAAGGAAUGAAGCCUACUCAAUUUCCAAAUAUAUCCUAAUUUUUUUAGGAUUCAAAUCAAUAGACUCCUAUGUUAUAUUCUCAAAUUCUCAAACAAACGGAGGACUUACUUAAGCCAAGAACCUUCCCAUUAGAAAUAAAAGAUUUUUAUAAUCUAGAAAUCCCUUUUGAAUUAAAUAAUCUUCUCAACAAUAUAUGAAAAUCUUAUAUAGCUGAAAGUAAAGCUAAUUUUCGUAAAAAUAUGAUAAAAUUAGCAGAAACUUCAGCUAAACAAGCUAAUGAACAAGCUCAUUUUCAAGCACUUGUAUAUAAUAGUAUAUAUGCAAGUCACUUACUAAAACAGUAAAAUCCGAACUUUUUUGCCAUAGAUGAAAAUCAAUACAUUCUUGAUGAGAUAAACAAUCUCCUUGAGAUUUGUAAAAUUUUUGAACAAAAGCAAUUUUCUUCCAAAAUAUUAAAAUUGAAAAAAAUUUUGAUGUUUGUAAAAUCUAUAAUUCUCUUAUCCAAAGAGAUUUAUUAGUGAAUAAAUCUUGUUAUUCUUCUUGCAAUAAAGACACUGUUACAAUGAAAAAUUUUGAUUAUUAUUUUUUCUUAUGUUUAGAAAAUUAUGAAAUUAGAGAAUUAUUUUCAAAAAUCAAAUUUAAAUUUGAUCAUGAACUUUUUGAUAUAACAAGUAUCAAAAUUGAAAUAAUUGGGCAAAUAAUUGUAAAAAAUUUUUCUUUCAUACAACUAAAAUAAUUUCUUGCUUUUAUAAAAUCUAAAUUUAUUAAUUAUGUAAAAAUUGAUCAAUACUUUUUCUAUAUAUAUUUUAAAAUUACCAAUUUAUUAAAAAUCUUUCGAAAAAAAAGAUUUAUCUAACUUUGUCAAAUAUAAAAAAUUACAAAAUUAAUGGGUGGACCUCAACUUCAAAAUUCUAAUUAAGAUUUAGACAAGCUAAAUCAAGCUUUAAAGAAAUUUUCUUCCCCCAAUCAAUAUCAAUUUCAAGCUGAAAUAAUAAUGAUAAAUCAUGUAAAAAUCUUACACUGUAAAAUCUUAAAAUUUCAAUAUCUUUAAAUUUUGAUUAAAACAAAUAGAUAACGAAUUUUUAUUCAAAGAUCAUACAUUAAAAAUAAUCUGCCUCUAACGGACCCAGCGGCAUUCGAACUGUUGAGUAAAUUAUCUACAUCAUCCAUAACAUUUAUUGUUUCAACAGUUCAACAUCAAUAAAGAUGAAAUUUAUGAAAUAAAACGAGAACUUUUCCUAUUCAUUUUAUUAACGAUGAAUUAAUCUAAACAACAUUAAAGAAAGAUAUCAGAUCAGUGAACCAGUAGACAUACAGCAUCUCCAGCAGGACAAGGUAAAAAAGGUCACUCAUCACGUCACCAUCACCAAAAGUUAUGGCUGACAUUUAAGAUUCCUCUCAUAUUUGUAACUCAACCAUGGCCUAUCUACAAUUUAUGUAACCUAACCAAGGUUCAUCGAUUAUUAUAAAUAGAUCCUUAGGAUAGAACAGAGAGAUGCAGGAUUUUCCUCCUCUCUCUUUCAUUGCUCUCUCCAUCCCUCUUUCUUAGGCAAACGAUAAAAAAAAAAAAAAAAAACCAAGUCAAAGUACAUUUUUUAUCUAUCACUAGUCAUUCAUCGUAUUUAUUUAUUUUCACCAAGUGUAUCAGAUCACAUUUAUUUCUUUUGCAUCACAUUUAAUACUAAAUAAAAAUAUUUAUUUCCAUCCAUCAUAUAUAUUUCUCUUCAUCAACCAUUUUCAAAUUUUUAUUCUUUCAUCACAUCACAUUUAUUAUUACUCUUCCAUCCAUCACAUUUUUUUUUUUCCAUUACAUUUAAUAUUAAAUAAAAAUAUUUGUUCCUCUUCUUCUGUCACAUUUAUUAUUAUGUUUCUUACGCAAGAAAACAUAUUUUUUGUGCUAAAAAGCUCUUACAUAAAAAAUAUAAUCUGAAUAAUCUUUAAAUUUAAAUUUUUUAUUUAUUAUCAAUCAUAUUUUAAAAUAAAAAAUGUAAUUUUUAAUAAAUUAUUAAUCAUAUUUUUAAAUUAAUAAAAAUUAUUUUUAUUAACAAAGAUUAUAUUUUUAAAUAUCAUAAAUAUAUUUUUAAAUUUCAUCAAUUAUUACAUUUUUUUAAAACGUAAAAAAAAAAAGGUGCCACUAGGCAUCUCUAAUGCACUUCAUUCUCUACAACUUCAAUAUUAUGGAUGAUAAAGGAUAAUGGUAGUACUCAAUUGAUAUAAAGGGUUGGAGCACGUAAAGUUUGGGCAGGAAAAGUGAAGUUACUUUUUUUUUUUCAAUUCAAAGGAUUCGAAAAAAAUACAAAAAUGAGAGGAAAAUUAGAAAAAAAAAAGACAUCUUAUCUUAUUACAAAUUAAAAAAAAAUAUAAGAUUAAAGAAAAAAAAGGAAUGUACUUCAAAACCAACUCUAUUUACUUCCAUUUCAAUCAAAGAAAUAAAACAUAAAAUAAAGAAAAUGACAUAACAUUUGAUAAGUAAUGAAAGAAAGAACAAAUAAAAUAUAAAAAAUUGACGGGUACAUAAAUUUAAUUAUCUUUUAUGAAAUUAAUGAGAUUUAGUACCUGAUAAUUUAAUUAUGUUUUUAAUUUAAGUCUAUAAUUUAUAAUAUUAAAUUUAUUUAUGCUUUAUAAUUUAAUUAUGUUUUUAUAAUAUUAAAUUUAUAAUGCUUUUAUAAUAUUAAAUUUAUAAUAUUAAUUAAAUUAUGUUUUUAAUUUAGGUCUAUUUUAACAAUUUAAUUAUGCUUCUAUAGAUUUAAUUAUGUUUUUAUAAUUAAAUGUAAUUAUGCUUUUAUAAUUUCGUCAAAAAAAUUAAUAUCAAAAUCACAUCAAAAUUAAUAAAUUUAUUGUCAAAUAGACCUCUAGUAAACAAUUUGUUCUACCAGCUAACUAAAAAAUGAAAAAUUUCAACUUUUUUAGAGCUCAAAAUUGAGAAAUUGACAUAUGAUGAUGAAGAAAAAAAAGCAUUUUAAUUAUUUAAUUUAAUGGCUGGAGCCUGGAGCUCAUUUUUUUUGUUUUUUGUUUUAGCUUUGUGUGGAAUUAAAAAAAUCAAAGUAAAAUAUAAAAAUUAAUAUAUUAUAAUAUGUGAUUGACAUAUGACGGCAUGCCUCAAAUGGUCCUAAGUAAAAAGAUUGGGCUUCACAUUUCUUAAUUAAACAAAACAUCUAUCAAAUUUGCGUUUAGAUUUUAUCAUAAUUUUAGUAUGAUAUGAUUAAAUUUAUUAUAUUUUCAAUUAAAUUUAAAUAUUAAUUUUAAUAAAAUUAAAUCAAUAUAAAUUUUUUAUUAAUUUUUUUCAAUUAUAGUUACAGUAAUGUUUUUAAUCACAACUACAAUAAAUUUUAUUACUAUUUUUAUUCUUAGUAUAACUAACUCCUAUCUUAUUCAAAUAGAACCUAAAUCAACAUCAACAUACUAAAUGUGGGUUUAAAGACUAUAUUUUAAAAAUAAAAAAAAAUAUGAUUUUUGUUUAUUAUUUAUCAUGCUUUGAUAAUGUAAUUUUUUUAAUUUAAUUUUUUGUUCAUUAUUAAUCACGUUUUGAAACUAAAAAAAAUUGAUAUUUGAUAGAUUAUUAACUACAUUUUUAAACUAAUAGACAUGAUCUUUAUUAGUAAAAACUAAAAUUUUAAGUAUCAUAAAUAUUUUUUUAAUAUUAUAUCAAUUAUUAUAAAACAUCAUUAAUUUAAAAAUAUUUAUUUUAUCUUGUUAUUAUUUUAAUUGAUUUACUAUAUUUUAAAUAUAAAAAAUGUAAUGCUUUCUAAAAUUAAAAAAAUUCAAAAUACUUACUUUACUAAAAUACUUAACUGUUAGAUCUUUGAUAUACUAAAAUCCUUACGUUUUCUUCGUUUAAUUAUAUUUUUGAAUUUUUAAUAUAAGUAAAACUAACAGCUAAGUAUUUGAUGUUUUCCUUUCAAAAAUAUAACCACAAUUUUAGUAUUUUAGUAAAUAUAGAACUAACCGUUGGUUCUUUGGUUAUAUAAGUUUUGCACAUAGUUAAAAUACUUAUUUUACUAGAAUACUUAAACUUUAUUAUUUUAAAAAAGAAAAAUUAAAUAUGUAAAGAUAAAAUUUAAUAAAACAAAAAAAAUAGGUGAAGUUUAAUAUUAAAUUAUAAUAUAAUAAUAAAUAGACCAAAAAAAUAAUACAUGGAUAAAAUUUUAAGAAAUUAAGAUUGUUUUGUCGCUUAAUCUUUUUUUUUUUUAUUUUGAUAUUUAAUUCUCAUAUUUUUGUUUGUUUUGAAUCCCAAAUUAUCUCAAAACUCAUGAAAGUGUCACGGACCUAAGAAAGAGUCUUGAAUCCCAUAUCGAACAUAAUAGGAAGAUCACUGGGGUAUAAAAACGUUCACAUCACCUCUGCCUUGUGAGGCACUUUUUGUAGAACAAAACCGUGAGGUCAGGGGAGGCCAGAGCGGACAAUGCCUCACAAGGGUGUGAACCGUGGCGGAAGGCUGAUCUGGGACGCCAGAAGGGUGAAUGCCCAGGUCCCGGAGCCGCGUGGAUUCAGAGUUUAAGUCUCGACCCAUGACAAGUGGUAUCAGAGUCAGCCCUAAACCGUUCGAUCCACGCCAAACACCUCGAGGGAGGUAGGCAUGAUAGCUAACCUCCGUGACGAGGCCGUCACGAAGUUGGGUGCAGGAGAAUGUCACGGACCUAAAGAAGAGUCUUGAAUCUCACAUCAAACAUAAUAGGAAGGUCACUGAGGUAUAAAAUGGUUCACAUCACCUUCGCCUUGUGAGGCACUUUUUGUAGGAUAAAACUGUGAGAUCAGAGGGGGCUAGAGCGGACAAUACCUCACAAGGGUGUGAAUCGUGGCGGAAGGCUGAUCUGAGACGUCGGAAGGGUGAAUACUCGGAUCUCGAAAUUAUGUAAGUUCGAAGUUUAAGUAUCGACCCGUGACAAAAGCACUAUCACAUUUAAAGUAAGACUUGACAAAUAUAAAUUUUGACUUUUUACUAUGUUUAUCUCAUAAAUAUAAAGAUUAUGAUUUGCCAUAAAAAAAUGUAAUUGAAAAGUUAACAAAAAAACAUAGUAAAUCAAAGAAACUUUGUUAGUAGUUUAUCUCAUAAACUUUUUACCUACCGGUCUUUUAUUCUCUCUUUGUUUAUAUCAAAGAACAGCUAUUUCUUUUUUUUUUCUCAUAUAUUUUUUGAAACAAAAAAAAAUGAAUCAUCAAACAGUCACGUGACACUUCUAAUGAAGAGUCUUAUGCUCAGUAUAUUUGUAAAAUUUAUCUUAUAAAUUGAUAAAUAAAAAUAACUUUGCCACUUAGAAGGGUGUCAGAAUAAAAAUUUACAUAUAAUCAGUACGGGUAUUUUGAAUUUGAAGCACAAUUAGAAUGCAAUCUGUUACUCAUGUAAUUGUCAUAUUUGCUUCAGUUCAUACCAUGAAAAUGUCAAUUUGUUAUCCUUUACAAAAUUAUAUAUUUUGAACCUACAGAUCUCUUAAUUUGGAUGUCUUAGUUGCAUUAACAUUUUAAGAUUCUGACAAAGAAAACAUUAAUGAGGGAAGAAAAAAUUAGAUAAAAUCAGAUAUAUACGAGAAACCCUCGGUCUUUUUCUCUGAAGUUUCCAUCCAUUGAUUAAUAAGACAACUAGCACCAGCUGGCUCACAAGUUGUUAUAAACUCGUUAACUUCAACUAGUCUCUGUCCAUCCUCGAAGCUUCAUCCUAUAGCUAGACUAUAUAAAAGAAGAGGCCCUGCUAAAACUAGGGGCAUCAGAAAUGCAUUUCAAUUCUUGCCUGCUUGCUUUACUUCUGUUAAAUGUCCUUCUAUUUUCACAAUGUAAUCUCACAGUCCAGGCUGGGGAAUCUAUUUCUGGCUCACCCUCGGAUACAAUUCCUCCACGUGAUGUUUGGAAUAAGUUGAAAGUUGUGUCCAAGAGGAUUCAGGCAUCAUCUCCACCAUCACCUAGGAUUAAUGCUCCUUAUCACUUAAAGAGUCCUCCUCCAUCUCCUCGACGUCCUCCACCACCAUCCCCACCAAGAGCACCACCACGAGCACCACCACCGCCUUCAUCCCCGUGCCAACCACCCAUAUGAUUUUAGCGUGCUACCUUCUAUAUCAAGAAUAUUUUAUCGGAUACUUGGCCCUAAGGUUACAGUCGAUAAAGCUUUAACAUCUGAAGCUUCUAUUUUAACUUUAAAGUCAGCAAGUUCGUGAAGAUCUUAAGGCAAUUCCCCUUCUUCUGUAAGAAUUAUUAUUAUUAGAACAUUGUUCCAAUAAUUGGUUAUAUUUAUUUUUUAACUUUGAUAGUUGCUCUCCAAUUCCUUUUCCUCCAAUCUCACAAGAAGCUAUAUCUACAAAGCUAGAACAUUGCUCUUGCAACAACCAAGAUCCUGCUCCUAGCAAAGCUACAAAUCUGGGACUGUAUGUGCCUUCAAUUUUUUUGGAUAAAUGAAUGUGCUUUUAUUCAUCCAAAAACCAAUACAAAGAAUUUAGUUUAUACAUGCAUAACUUUUAAAAAUCAGGGAAGAUGAGACAAGACAAUUAAACAUCAACUCUUCAAGAUUCCAAUUACUACAAAGAGAUCGAUUAACAGAACUGUAGCCUAUAGCGAAUAGCAAUCCUGACGAAUUGCAUGAUAGUUACAAAUUUUAAAUGAAGAGAACUAAUUAUAAAUGAAUCUCCAUGCAUUUACACCUGACCUCCAGAUUGUUUCACAUAAUCUAUCAUUAAAAGAUUUUCCCGCUUUUAUAAAGCAUCACUUCAUUGAAUGUAUAAAAUGGUCAAAACAUUUUUUCUACGUUCAUUUUACUAUAUAUAGUUUUUUGGAUACCUUUCAAAGAGAAAGAUUUUACCAACCCUAUCAGAUAUGAGAAUUUGAUACCGUAAUGCCAAAUCAUCCCUCUAGAAGGUAAAGUUUAAGGAGGCUUGGCCUAGAUAUAUGCUCAAUUACAUUGAUCUGUACUGGCCUGAAAAUUUAGAUGGCAUGAUUUAUAAGAACCAAAUACUCUUGUGCAGAUAGAAACAGGAAAUUUGUUUUAGCACAUGGGAAAAGAUGCGAGGCUACCAACGCGUUUAUAAUUUGGAAAAGAAGGAAACUUUGUGCAAGAAGUUAUGUUAUUCUUGCUCAAUUUGCUUUGAAUUGAUAUUGAUUGAAAUAUCUGUUACAGAUAUAUGAGGCAGCUAUUAGAGGUCUUGUCCCAGUUGAUUGUCCAGCGCCAGUAAAAUUUCCAUUACCAAAUCCGAAAGAUCCUUUCUCCUUGAAGCCAGGAUCCAUUUCUGCAUCCAUUCUGGAGUCCGAAGCAUCUGCUAUUGAGAAAUCAUCUAGUCUCAUUGCAGCAAUAGCUGAUACAAGAGCAGCAGCUACACAGUUCUCAAAGGACCAAGAUUUUCCUACAAAUACCAUCCAGAAUAGUAAACCUGAUUCAACAUUAAGUAAAAUGCAGACGAUAUUAUCAAAGACAAUAGAAUAACUGAUAGUAAUUUAAAGGAAGGAUCUAUAGAGGCAAAUUCAGCCUUAGAGCAAAGCAACUAUUUUGAGGAAGAGGGAAGCAGUAGUCACAGUCGACCUCCUGCACAUCCAAAACAGCAUCCUGGUGCCUCUUCUAAGGUAAGCAGUUAUUUUACUUUGAUAUAAGUUUCCGGCCUGCUAUUUCAUUGCAUGAAUAAAGUCCAUGAUAUGGCUGUUCCAUCCCACAUAUCAACUAGAUGAUUGAACAUUGAAUGGGGAUGAGGGGGAGGACAUAUAGAAUGAUAAUUGCCAUUCUUAAUAUCAUGUCAUUUUCUUAUUAACCCCUGUAUUCAAACAAAUGGAACAAUUUUAACUUCAGAUUGCACUAUCUAAUUUCCAGACUGUUUUAGUUUUUUCCCCCAGUGUCCUUGUCUGUUUGCUCCAUCUUUGCAUAUUUAGAUUUUUGCUGUGGCAAUGAGGGGGCUGAAGCCAUCAUGAAUAUUUAACUAAUUCUUAGGACAAGGAGCUUGUAUAUUUAACUAGACGCGUGUGGCAUAAGGUUUUCUAUGCUGAAAUCUAAGUAUAGCUCUUCAAACAGGCAUAUCGGAAGUGUUUUUCUCUCAUUAUUCUUUUCCAUUUGUAUGCAUAAUUCAAUUCUCUCUGGAUGUCUGGUUCUUAGGGCUUGAUAGUUGUCAUUGUUGUACUAUAAUAAUAUUCGCUGAAUUUUCAUGGAUUGUUGUAGUUUAUAGAACUCUAAUAAGGUGCAAAAACAAUAAACCUGACAAUUUAAAUACAACAAAAUAAUAUGACACAAUACAAUUAAAAAAUAUGAAAGUAUCAUGAUUUAAAAUUUUAAUAAUAAUUUAAUAAAUUUUAAAAAAUAUUUUAUAUUUUUAUAUAAAUUAUAAUAUAUAAUUUUCAUGUAAAAUAUAACAUGAUUAUAUAAAUUUUAAUAUUUUAUACGAUAUAAAAAUUCAAAUAAUUUAUAGUAUGUCAAAGUAUAGUGGUGAUUACGUAGCCAUUUAAUAAUUAAAAGUGGAGAUGGCCAUCCAAGACCAUGUUAAAGUAUUUUUAAUGCCUUUGUUAGGAAUAAUGAGUUAAAUCUUAUAAGAGAUUUGUCUGGGAUUUAUUAGAUAUUACUUGAUGGAUAAGAAGACUUGCAAAAGAAGAAUUCUAAGAAAAAAGAGAUUCUUAAUAGACAAGUUUAACUUGCAAAAGAAAAAUUUUAAGAGGAAAAAGAUUCUUAAUAGACAAGUUUAUAUGGUUACAAAUAGGUGAAGUUUCUACAUGUUUAGAUUUGAGAAAAAUAUGUAAGAGAGUUGUAGGGUUUUAUGGGUAGACAUCUCACAAGACUAUUGAAGAUUUAUGUGUUAUAGGUGUAUAUGUUUGUUUGUAAGUGGACUAGAGAAGACUGAGAAAAUUCACGUAGGUAUGAUGUAUGGGUGCAUAUGAGUAUAUGUUUGGUUGUGUUAAAAGGGUGUACAUAGGUGUGUUUGUUUGGAUUGAGAAUAAUCCAUAAGACUAGAGGAGAUUAAGAGGGUCUAUAGGUAUUGAUUGUUUGAGUGGUUGAUACGUUUUGAUGUAUGUCUGUAAUUCUAUAUAAUUAAUUAAUCUUGUUUCUCAUCCGUGGACAUAAGUUAGUUGGAUCGAAUCACAUGAAAUUGUUAUCUUUUACGUUUUUAAUUGAUUAUUUAAUUAUGCUUUCGCUGAUGUGAAUUAGAUUGGAGCUGUUUACUCAACAAAUGGUAUCGAAGCAUGGUUCGAAACAUAGGAAAAUCAACUUUAGAGGAGCUCAAUUCAAGAAAAAAAUUUGAGUUAGUGUUUUGAAUAUCAGUUUGUAUGAAGUGUAAAGGUACACAAGAGAAGAUGAUUGUGAGACUUCUAUUGCAGGUAAAGCCAAACAUAUCUAGCAUGAAGACAAAUGAUUGGUGAAAUUAGAGUCAAUGUGGAGAUUGUUAAGAAUAAUAACUUAAAUCCCAUAAGAGAUUUAUUUAAGAUUUGUUAGAUAUUAUUUGAUGGACAAGAAGAUUUAUAGAAAAAGAAUUCUAAAAGGAAAAAGAUUUUUAAUAUGCAAGUUUGACUUGCAGAAGAAAAAUUAUAAAAGGAAAAAGAUUCUUAAUAGAUAAGUUUGUAUGGUUAAAAAUAGGUAAAGCCUUUACAGGGUUAGAUAUUAGAAAAAGAUGUAAAAGAGUUGUAAGAUUUUAUGGGAUAAACAUCUCAUAAGGCUAUUGAAGAUUUACGUCUUAUGGGGGUGUAUGUUUGUAUGGUGUAUGGGAGUAGACUAGAGGAGACUGAAAUGGUUCACAUAGGUAUGAUGUAUGGACACAUAUGGGUAUAUGUUUGGUUGUGUUGAAAAGCAUAUAGGUAUAUGUUUGUUUGGAUGGAGAAUACUCCAUAGGACUAAAGGACACUGAGAGGGUCUAUGAGUUUUAAUUAUUAAAUGAGAUUGAUUUAAUAUAUGUUUGUAAUUCUUUACAACUAGUAGAUCUUGUUUUUCAUUCGUGGAUGUAAAUUGGAUUGAACCACGUUAAAUUGUUAUCUCUUAUGUGAUAAAUUAAUUAUUUGAUUUCACUUUUGUUGGUGUAAUUGGAUUAGAGCUUUUUAGCCUAACAAGUGAUAUCAAAGCUGUAGUGAUUCCUAAAGUGGUAUCAGAGCUGUGGUAAUCUUUAACAAGUGGUAUCAGGCUAAAGGUUCAAUAUGUGAAAAAAGUUAAAGGUUUGAGCUAUGAGAAAAGACAAGCCUAAAAGAGCUCCAUUUAAGAAAAAAGUUCGAGUUUAAGUUUUGAAGAUUGAAGAUCGAUUUACGUGAAGCGUAAAGACAUGCAAAAAAAGAUAAUUGAGAGACUUUUAUUGCAGGUGGAGCCAAGUAUGACUAGCAUAAAGAUAGGUAAUUGAUGAAAUUUGAGUCAAGAUUAAGAUUGUUAGGAAUAAUGAUCAAAUCUCGUAAAAAAUUUAUUUGAGAUUUAUUAGAUAUUGCUUGAUGGACAGAACACUUGCAAAAAAAAAAAAAAUUCUAAGAAAAAUAGAUUCUUAAUAGGCAAGUUUGACUUACAAAAAAAAUUUUUAAGAGAAAAAAAUUUUUAAUAGGCAAGUUUGUAUGGUUAUAAAUAGUAAAAUAUUUACAAAGUUAAUUAUGAGAAAAAGAUGUAAGAGAGUUAUAGGAUUUUAUAGGUAGACAUCUUAUAAGACUAUUGAAAAUUUACGUCUCAUAGGUAUGUAUGUUUAUUUGUGAGUGGACUAUAGGAGAUUGAGAUGAUCCACAUAGGUAUGAUGUAUAGGUGCAUAUGAGUAUAUGUUUAGUUAUGUCUAAAGGGUGCACAUGGGUAUGUAUUUAUUUAGAUUGAGAAUAAUCCAUAAGACUAGAAGAGAUUGAGAUGAUCUAUGGGUAUUGAUUGUUGAGUGGUUAAUACAUUUUUAUGUAUGUUUGUAAGUUUUUAUAACUAGUGGAUCUUGUUUCUCAUCCGAAAUGUAGGUCAAUUGGAUCGAAUCAUGUUAAAUUAUUAUCUCUUGUGUGUUUAAUUAAUAUUUGAUUAUGCUUCUACUGACGUGAAUUAAAUUGAGACUUUUUGCCUAACAAGUGAUAUCAAAAUAUAGUUUGAGACAUAGGAAGAGGUAAGCUUAGAGGAGCUCGAUUCAAGGUAGAAGUUCAAGUUCACAUUUUGAAGAUCGAUUUGCAUGAAGCGUAAAGACACACAAGAAAAUAUGAUUGUGAGACUUUCAUUGCAGGUGAAGUAAGCAUAUUUAGAAUGAAGAUAGAUGAUUGAUGAAAUUUGAGUAAAUGUGAAGAUUGUUAGGAAUAAUGAUUCAAAUUUAAUACGAGAUUUGUUUAGGAUUUGUUAGAUAUUACUUGAUGGAUAAAAAGACUUACAGAAAAAUUUUUUUAAAAAGAAAUAGAUUCUUAAUAGGCAAGUUUGACUUGUAGAAAAAAAUUUUAAAAGAAAAAAGAUUCAUAAUAGGUAAGUUUGUAUGGUUAUAAAUAUGUGAAGUCUCUACAGGGUUAGAGAUGAGAAAAAAAUAUAAGAGUUAUAAUGUUUUAUGGGAUAGACACCUUAUAAAACUACUGAAAAUUUAUGUCUUAUGAGUGUAUCUGUUUGUAUGGUGCAUGGGAAUAGACUAAAGAGAUUGAAAGGGUCCACAUAGGUAUGAUAUAUGAGUGCAUAUGGGUAUGUGUUUGGUUGUGUUGAAAGGCACAUGAGUAUGUGUUUAUUUGGAUUGAGAAUACUCAAUAAUACUAGAGAAGACUGAAAAGGUCUAUGGAUAUUGAUUCUUGAGUGAGAUUGAUUUGAUAUAUAUUUGUAAUUUUCUACAACUAAUGGAUCUUAUUUUUCAUCUAUGAAUGUAGGUCGGUUGGAUCAAAUUACAUUAAAUUAUUAUUUUUUGUGUGAUAGAUUGAUUAUUUGAUUUUAUUUUCAUUGAUGUAAUUGGAUUGGAGCUUUUUAACCUAACAACUUUCUCCCAUCGAUAAUGUGAACUGCAAAACCAUAAUAGCAAGUUAUUAUUGUAAUCUUUUAUUGGUAAGGUCUAAUAAACCUCGUAAGCAUAUAAAGAGCUUUUAUCUUCGGGUCGAUGCUACAAGAAGCAUUAACAAUGCCACUCAUUUUAUACUACUUCAAUCUUUCUAAUCCACGACCUGUUACUAUCAGGUUGCUGGUUUCAUGUGGAAGUCAUUGAAGCUGUUCCUGGGCCUUUGAAGUUUGAACUGUUUGGACUUGGAACCGCCACCUUCCCUUACCAUCAAUGGUGUCGGUCAGCUUUUUUUGAUUUCCCCACCAACAACGCCCCCAUCAACAUGAUCAAGAUACAUAGCCUUCGUCCCGUCUACUUUUUGCGUGUAGAAAAUAAGGCUUACGUGUAUGCAAUCAUUAAAAUAUGAAAUAAGGUAUGCAAUCAUCAAAAUAUAUGAACUUGAAAGAAAAAAUCAUUAACAAUAGUGUGGUAUGUUGUUAUAUUGAUAGUAUGAUAGAUUUUUAAUUUUAAUGAUUAAAAUUUAAUAUGUGAUUUUGUUUAUUAGGUACGGUUAAAAUUUACAUAUAAUUAAGAGAAUGCUUUUACGUUAGUAUCAACUAUAUGAUGAAAGCAUAUUUUUUAAAAUUUGGUAUUAAUUAAUAUAUUAUAAUUAUGCAAACAUAUAAAUCAUAAAACCAAGCAAUUUUUAGCUUUAGAAACAUAAAAAUUUUAACAAUUUCAUCAAAAAUUUUAUUUUCUUUGAAGAUAUUUGGUAAUUACUUUGGUUACUUGACUUUUUUUUUUUCUUUUAAAAUUAAAAGCAAAAUGAGCAUUGAGAAAAAAAAAAACAAAUAAUAUUUUCAAAGAAUAAAAAAUUUUAAGAAAUAUUUUUUUCCCUAACUUAAAACACAUAUUUUACUUUCAUAUUGAAGAAAGAUUUAUAAUUCAAUAAAUGUAAUUUUGCAUGUACACUUUAACAAAUAUAUGUUUAUAUAAAUCCAAGAUACUCAUACCUUGUAAAGGAUCUAAUAAGAUAUUAAACUUGUCAUUGAUGACAUGAUCCUCUUUCAUUUGAUGCCAUGCAAAUUGCCAACAAUUUCCUAAAUUUUGAUCAAAUCAAUAACAAAAAGACCUUUCAAAAAAUGUUCAUCUAAAAUAUUCAUUUGAAGCAUUUGUUUCUAAAAUAAGUAACUCUCCUGGUUUAGGGAGAUAAAUUUUGGGAGUAUAAAUAAGAUAUGAUUUUUUUGUUUAAUAUUAUCGGCAUCUUGUUUUGUCCAAUGAAAAGAAAUAUCUUUUUUCAAUUUUUCUUGUAAAAUUUUUUCUUUUUUUAAAAACAUUUUUGAUAAAUUCUUUACCAUAGUUUAAAAGACCAAUGAAUUUUUGUAAAUGCUUUUUAUCAUCCAGUUGUUAUAGGAAAUCCUUAGUUUUUACAAUAAUAUGAUAUUGCAAAGUAAGACCAUUGACAGAUAAAUUUAAUCCUAAAAAUUCUAUUUCUUGUUUCUUCUUCCUCUGAAGAAACAAAAAACCCUAUAUUUAAGGAAACAGAUCAACCAAAAGUUGAUCAUAGAAAAUGAAAAGUUGGUGAAGUUUUUAACCUAGAAACUGAUGAUCAUAUUAGAUUUUCACAUAUGAGUAAUCAAGAAUGUUUGAACAACAAACAAGUAGGGAUGAAAUAAAACAAACUAAUACAAAACAAGUAGGCAAAAGUUCUUAAAAUUCAUUGACUAUUAAAUCUCUAACAAAAGAAACGUUGCAUCUGGUGGCACAUAUUUAGAUUUAUCUGAAGUACCUAUUUCUAAAUAUGAAAAAGCCAUAGAAGAUUAGGCACAAUCUAUGUCCAUAGUUGUCAUUGGUUAUAAAGAUACAUGGACAAAAGAAAAAUUUUUGAAUUAUUUUUGUGGUACAUGGCAAGAUGUUUUACAAUUUUUAUGAAAAUAAGAAAAUUUUGAAUAAGAGAAAACCCCAAAAGGGACUCUUUUUAACCAGAUAACUAUUCUUGAUCUUGUAAAAAAAUUAACAUAAAUACUCAAAAAUGAGUUUUUUGGUAGGAUGGAUGAAGUUGAUUUAAACAGGGAAGCUCAAUUUAUCCUGUCAAAAAUGAAAUUGUGUAAUAUUAGAAAUUUGGAAGAAUAUUUGAAAAACUAUAUUAGUGAAUAUAAAAAACUGGAUGACUCACAUUCAGCAUUUUGGAAAAAACAAUAUUUUCAUAAACUUCUCUCACCAUGAAAUGAAUUAUGUUUAAAAAAUUAUCCUACUUAUUUAAAAUUACAUAAGCCAUCCAGUAGUAAUUUACUUUAUUUUGAUAUAUUAGGUAAUAGAGUUUAUUUUGCUAAAAAACAAGUUGUUGAGUAUUGCUUUAAACAAAAAGAUAUUAAACAAGUAAAAAGUAAACUUAGUGAUAAACAAUGCACUAGGAUUUUAGAACAUGAAUUUGAAUUUGGCUGUAACAAAAAAACUAACAACUAUUUAAAAAAAACAUAGAAAACAAAAACGAUAUAAAAUGCUUAAAUGGAAACCUAAAAAUAGGGCUAUGAAAGGUAAAAAUUUUGUUAUUAGAAGAAAAACUUCGAACAAAAAAUCAAAAUCAAAAUGUAAAUGUUUUAUUUGUGAAGAAGAAAGUCAUAUAGCACCACAAUGUUCUAACAAAGGUAAAAAUGCUAAAAAAGCUAUUAAAACACUCGAAGAAUGAGAAUUAGCAAUUUGUUUUGGUGAUGAAUUAUCUGAUGAUGAAAUUAUUUAUGAGUUAAUUUUUGAAACAUAAUUCAAUUUUGGUACUGAAAUAGAAUAUAUUUUUAUGUUAAAAUUUUCCACAAAUCCUAUUGAAAAAAUGAAUAUUGAAAUUUCUUCUGUUGAAACCCAACAGAUGAUUUCCUUUCGAGAUGUAUUAGGAAAAACUCAUACUUUAAUAGAAGAUGAGAUUUCUCAAAUGCAAAUCAUAAAAAAAGAUGAAAUUUAUAAAACUUCUUUUUUCAAAAAAUUUCAACCUUAAGUGCAACGACACAUUGAAAAAGUUAGUGGUGAUACAAUUGCAAAUGAUUUUAAACAAGGAUAUGUUGAUAUUCCCCUAUUCACAAAAAAAAAAUCAAAAAAUUUAAACAAAAAUGUCUUGAAGUUAGAUAUAUACAUAUUGGUAUCAUUAUGAUUACUAUAAAAUCUCAUUUUAUUACAAGUAAAGAUAUACCAAUUUUAGAUAUGUUGUUAGAUAAAAUAUUUACCAAUCUUGAUAAAUCCAUAAUAGGGGGUAUACAAUCAAAUUUAGUAUCAGAAGUCAUUGGUUUAAAGACAAACCAAAUAUUUUUUUUUUUUAUUAACGAUCCUUUAAUAGAAGAUUGUCUUAGAUUACAUAUAAAAACAAAAAAUUCUAAAAUUAGAGAAGUAGCAUAUGAUCUUUCCAUAAAUUAGAUAGCAAUUUAUGAAUUAAUUAAUCAUGCUACUACUACUAUUAAAGAAAUAGAUUAAAAAUUAUAGAAAUUUUUUAGCCAAGAUCUUAUGGUUUAGAAAUCAAACCAAGAUUAAUGAAUUUAUAAGACUUAUCUGUUCUAUAGAUUGGUUAUUAGAAUAUGUUACUAAAGAAAGACGUACAAACAGUAGAUUCAACUCUUUAUAAUUUUUUGUAUCCGAAAAUAACUUAUAUUUCAAAAAUCUAGAAGCUAGUAGUUCUAGUAAUAACUUAGUACUGCCCUUAUCUUCGUCAAUACCAUCAUACUCUAACAGAGAAGAUGAUGUUGAAAGUAUUGCUAGUGAACAAUCUUUCAAUUUUUUUAAAUCAUCAUCAGGGACUAUUGGAACAAAAAAUGUCAAUAUUCCUAUAUUUUCAAGUGAUAAUAAUAGAUUUAAUCAAGAAAACUCUGUUUACAAUUCAGUAAACUAAGUUUUAAAUUCAGUUUCUUCUAGAAGCACUAGAAGAAAAGAUAUUAGAAGCCUAGUUGUCAUCACUCAAUAUAAAAUUAGAAAUGAUAAAGUUAUUACUUUUUCUGAUAAUCAGUCAAAAAGGCAUUAUAAUUAUAUUAAUGCAAAAUUUCGAUUUAAGAAGUAUAAACCAUACUCAUUACACAUUUAACUUGAUACCGAAACUAUUAUAACUAGUUGUUGGAGUAAUGCAUUACUAUUAAGUAAAUGGGAACCCGUGAAACAUCCUUUAGCAGUAAUAGGUAUAGAUGGUAAAAAAACCGUAAUAGUAUUUAAAACUAAAAAUAUUUCUAUAUAUCUUAUGAACAAAAAGUUCAUAAUUUUAAAAAUUUUAUGUUUUUUUUUUAUGCAUGAAUAUAUGUUAUUAAGAAAUAAUUUUUUUACUCAAUUAUUUACCUUAUAGUUUGACCUCCUCAUAUAUUACUUUAAUUAUAGAUAAAGAAUCUAUAGAAAUUCCUAUAGUAAAAAAUCAUAUGCAUAUUUGUGAUUUAAAUUUUUAGCUUGAAGCUAAUAAAGUUGAAAUUAAAGCAAUCAGUGAAAAACAUUAGUUAUUUAAAAUUUUACAAAAAAAUUUUAGUAAAGAACCACUAAAAUUAUGGUCUUGAAGUCCUAGACAUUAUAGUUUACAAAUGAUUAAUUCUAAUAAAAUUAUUAGAGUCAAACCCAUGAUCUAUACUAAAUAAGAUAUAGAUGAAUUUGACAUUCAAAAUUUUGAACUUUUACAAAAAAGACUAAUAUAACCAACUAAUAGUCUACAUUCAAGUCCAACCUUUUUGGUAAGAAAUCAUGCUGAAUAAAAAUGAGGCAAAUCCAGAAUGGUAAUCAACUAUAAAUGGCUAAAUCAAAAUUUAGUUUUUGAUGGAUAUUUUAUUCCUCGAAAAGAUGUUUUGAUUAAUUUAGCUAAAAAUGCUAAAUAUUUUAAUAAAUUUGACUGUAAAUCAAGUUUUUAACAAAUUAUGCUAACUGAAUAGUCAAAAUUAUCAACUACAUUUAGUGCUCCAAAAGGACACUAUCAAUGGAAAGUAAUUCCUUUUGGAUUCUAUAAUACUCUUCAAAUUUUUCAAAGAAAAAGAAAUUUUAUUUUUGAAAAAUAUAAAGAUUUUUGUUGUGUGUAUAUUGAUGAUAUUCUUAUCUUUUCUUCAAAUUUAGAACAACAUAGGAAACAUCUAAAUUUAAUUGCUCAAGAAUUUAUUAAACACAGAAUUAUUUUAAGUCCUAAAAAGAUAGAGCUUGAAGAAACAAGAAAUAGAAUUUUUAGGAUUAAAUUUAUAUGUUGAUGGUCUUACUAUAUAAGAUCAUAUUAUUGUAAAAAUUAAGGAUUUUCCAGAACAACUGGAAGAUAAAAAGUAUUUACAAAAAUUUUUUGGUUUUUUUAAACUAUGGCAAAAAUUUAUGAAAAAUCCUUCUAAAAAAAGAAAAAGUUUUACAAUAAAAAUUGAAAAAAAAUAUUCCUUUUCAUUGGAAAAAACAAAAUGCUGAUAUUAUUAAACAAAUAAAAUCAAAUCUUAUUUAUAUUCCAAAAGUUUAUCUCCCUUAACCAGGAGAGUUACUAAUUUUAGAAAUAGAUUCUUGAGAUGAACACUGGGAUGUAUUUUCAAGGUAAAAGUCCAAAAAGAAUAAUUAAUUUGUUGAUACAAUUCGGGUAAAUUCAAACCAAAUGAAAUCAAAUAUAUUAUAUUUUGAAAAUAGUUUACUUGCCAUAAAAAAAUACAGUAACUAGGUUCCAUAUUUAUUUAGCACCUGAACCCUUUUUAUUAUUAGAAUUGAUAAUUAAGCAGUACAAGAUUUCUUAAAAAAUAAAAAAUUAGAUAAUAAUCCUAUAAGUAUUUGGUGGUAUAAUUUUUAAUGUCAGUGCAAUUUUAUUAUUGAAUAUAUUAAAGAAAUUAAUAAUAUUCUUGUUAAUUUUUUGAGCAAGCUUGAUAGAUAGAGGCAAAAAACCUCUCGAACAGCAAAGUGAAUGGACUACCCUCCGUAAGAAGCAAUCUAAACCCAAGAUUACUUUUUUUCAAAAUCUUAACCUAAGAUUUCAACCAAUUCCAUAUUGUCAAGGAUAUUUUAUCAACCUCAACCAUACUUUUUCAUUUUUCAACCUUCAUUAAAAUUAGUAAUGAAGCCUACCCAAUUCCCAAAUAUAUCCUAAUUUUCUCAUGAUCUAAAUCAAUAGACUCUUAUAUCAUACUCUCAAAUUCUCAAACAGACAGAGGACUUAUUUAAACCAAGGCCCUUUCUAUUAGAAAAAAAGAUUUUUAUAAUCCAAGAAUCCUUUUUAAAUUAUAUAAUCUUCUCAACAACAUAUAAAAAUCCCAUAUAUUUGAAAGUAAAGCUAAUUUUCGUAAAAAUAUGACAAAAUUAGUAGAGACUUUAACUAAACAAGUUAAUGAUUAAGCUUAUUUUUAAGCAUUUAUAUAUAAUAGUAUAUAUGCAAGUAACUUGCUACAAGAGCAAGAUGCGACUAUAAAUGAAAAUCAAUACACUCUUGAUGAGAUAAAUAAUUUCCUCAAGAUUUGUAAAUUUUUGAACAAAAACAAUUUUCUUCUAAAAUAUUAAAAUUGAAAAAUAUUUUAAUGUUUGAAAAAGUUGUAAUUUUCUUAUCCAAAGAGAUUUAUCAAGGAAUAAAUCUUGUUAUUCUUCUUGCAAUGGAGACACUAUUACAAAAAAGAUUUUUGAUUAUUAUUUUUCCUUGUAUUUAAUAAAUUAUGAAAUUAGAGAAUUAUUUUUAAAAAUUAAAUUUAAAUUUGAUCAUAAAUUUUUCGAUAUAACAAAUAUCAAAAUCGAUAUAGUUGGACUAAUAAUUGUAAAAAAUUUUUCUUUCUUACAACUAAAACACUUUUCUGCUUUUAUAAAACCUAAAUUUAUUGAUUAUGUAAAAAUUGAUCAAUGCUUUUUCUAUAUACAUUUAAAAAUUAUUAGUUUGUUAUGAAUCUUUUAAAGAAAAAAAUUUAUUUAACCUUGUCAACUAUGAAAAUUUUAAAAAUUAAUAGGUGGAUUUCAACUUGAAAAUCCUAAUGAAGAUUUAGACAAGCUAAAUCAAGCUUUAAAAAAUUUUCUUCCUCGAAUCAAUACCAAUUUUAAGCUAGAAUAAUAAUGAUGGAUCAUGUAAAAAUUUUACACUUUAAAAUCUUAAAAUCUCUAUAUCUUAAAAUUUCGACUAAAACGAAUAAACGACAAAUUUUUAUCUAAAGAUUAUAUACUAAAAAUAAUCUACCUCUAAUAGACCCAGCAGCAUUGAAAUUAUUGAGUAAAUUAUCUAAUAUGAAAGAUUUUGAUAAUUCAUAAUAUUUAUUGUUUCAAUAUCAAUAAAGAUGAAAUUUAUGAAAUAAAACGAGAACUUUUCCUAGUCAUUUUAUCUAAAUGAUAAAAAAUUAGUCAAUUGGAACAACGUUCAAGAAAAAUAACCGACCAGUGGACCAGUAGACAUAUAGCAUAUGCAGCAGGACAUGGUCAAAAAGAUCACUCAUGUCACGUCACAUCAUCAAAAGUAAUGGCUGACAUUUAAGAUUCCUCUCAUAUUUGUAACUCAAACCGGAUCUAUUUACUAUGUAACGUAACCAAGGUUCAUCGAUUGUUAUAAAUAGAUCCUUAGGAUAGAGUAGAGAGAUAAAGAUUUUUCCUCUUCUCUCUUUCUUUGCUCUCUCCAUCCUUCUUUCUUAGACACACGAUAACCAAAAAAAAAAGUCAAAGUACAGUUUUUAUCGAUCACUACUCAUUCAUCGUAUUUAUUUCUUUUCACAAAGUGUAUCACAUCACAUUUGUUAUUCUACCUUCAUCCAAUCACAUUUAUUUCUUUUGCAUCACAUUUAAUACUAAAUAAAAAUAUUUAUUUCUCUACCAAAAUUUUAAAAAUUUUUAUUCCUUCAUCACAUCACAUUUAUUGUUACUGUUCCAUCCAUCACAUUCAUUUCUUUUCCAUUACAUUUAAUAUUAAAUAAAAAUAGUUGUUUCUCUUCUUCUAUCACAUUUAUUGUUAUGUUUCUUACGCAAAAAAACAUAGUUUUUGUGGUAAAAAGCUCUGACAUAAAAAAUAUAAUCUAAAUAAUUUUUAAAUUUAAUUUUUUUAUUUAUUAUCAAUCAUAUUUUAAAAUUAAAAAUAUAAUUUUUAAUAAAUUAUUAAUCACAUUUUUAAAUCAAUAAAUAUUCUUUUUGUUAACAAAGAUUAUAUUUUUAAAUAUCAUAAAUAUAUUUUUAAAUAUCAUAAAUAUAUUUUUAAAUUUCAUCAAUUAUUAUAUUUUUUUAAAACGUAAAAAAAAAAAGGUGCCACUAGACAUCUCUAAUGCACUUCAUUCUCUACAAUUUUAAUAUUAUGGAUGAUAAAGGAUAGUAGUUGUACUCAAUUGAUAUAAAGAGUUGGAGCACAUAGUUUAGGUAGGAAAAGUGAAGUUGCUUUUUUUUUUUUCUCUGAAGUUUCCAUCCAUUGAUUAAGACAACUAGCACCAGCUGGCUCACAAGUUGUUCUAAACUCGUUCUCAAGUCUCAACUUCAACUAGUCUCUGUCAAUCCUCGAAGCUUCAUGCUAUAGCUGGACUAUAUAAAAGAAGAGGCCCUGCUAAAACUAGGGCAUCAGAAAUGGAUUUCAGUUCUUGCCUGCUUGCCUUAUUUCUGUUAAAUGUCCUUCUAUUUUCACAAUGUAAUCUCACAGUCCAGGCUGCGGAAUCUAUUUCUGGCUCACCCUUGGAUACAAUUCCUCCACGUGAUGUUUGGAAUAAGUUGAAAGUUGUGUCCAAGAGGAUUCGGGCAUCACCUCCACCAUCACCUGUGAUUAAUGCUCCUGUUCACUAUAAACCUCCAUAUCGUCGUCCUCCAACACCAUCCCCACCACGAGCACGAGCACGAGCACGAGCACCACCACCACCUUCAUCGCCGUGCCAACCACCUAUAUGAUUUUAGCUUGCUACCUUCUAUAACAAGACUUUUUUAUCAGAUACUUGGCACCAAGGUUACAGUUGAUAAAGCUUUAACAGCUGGAGUCAGUAAGUUUGUGAAGAUCUUGAGGCAAUUCCCCUUCUUCUGUGGAAAUUAUUAUUAUUAUUAUUAUUAUUAUUAUUAUUAUUAUUAUUAUUAUUAUUAAAACAAUUCCAAUAAUUGCUUAUAUUUAUUAUAGACACUUUAUUCCGUUUUACUGUAUUUUUAAGUUUUCUUAUCUUAUUUUAUUUACCUUGUUUUAUUUAUUUAUUUUGUUCCUAUUUUAUUCUCUUAUUCUUGUGGUUUAUCUUUAUUUAUUCAAUUUCUUUUUAUCUUAUCUCAUCUUUUUUAAACUAUCUGAUCCUUUUACAAAAAUAAUAAUAAUAAUAAUAAUAAUAAUAAUAAUAAUAAUAAUAGACCGAAAGAUAUUGAAAGUGGUAAUUCUUGUCAGGGUAGACUUUGGAUUAAGAUUAAAUUGGGUGAUAAAUUUUUUUUUUAAGGAUUUCUAAUCCUAAUGGAGUUGAGAUUCUUCUGAUUUGUGCUAUAAAUGGACAUGUGAUUAGCCAAAAAGGGAGGGAGUCGCGAAAUUUAGGAAGCAAAAAUAUAUUACGGAUUGCAAGAGUGUUUGUGAAAGUUGUUUUUAGGAGAUUUGAGAGGGAAUUAGAGGGAAAAUCAUAGGGAAAACGGAGGAGAAAAAAUGAUUGCAGGAAGUAAUCAAUUGCAACCAUCAGCACCACCACCAAUUUCCAUCAAGCCAAUUCUGCCACCAUCUUCCAUAGCCGAGCCUAAUUCCCUGCAAAAUAUGAUAAUUGACAAAAGCAAUACACUCCAAUUUCUAGCUCAAUUCCCAUAAAACCCAUUACCAGCCACAAUUGAGCAAGAAUAAUUACAAAGAAAAAACAGAGAAGAAAGGCUUAAACACCACCACUCUUAAAUUACCAUUUUCCUCUACAAUCAAGAUUACCCACAACCUCUUUUGCUUAAACCUUUUAACCAUCAUAAACCAUCGUGAUAGAUUCCACAAAAAAGGAAGGGGUUCUUGCAAGCUACCCAUUGAAAGCCAUCCUCGUCAACUCCAUUCAGCCCCAGUUCCCUCUGCAAAAAGCACACCACAAUACAAUCCCAGGCUGAGGCCACCAAACCCAAUAGCAACUUAACAAAACUGCCAAAAUCCCUAGCAACCAACAAUUAACAGUAACCAAGUCCACAAACCCAGAAAAGUAUCACAACCAAUUCCAUAUUCAAUCCAACUAAUUCCACAUUCAAUCACCAUAACAGAGAAUACAAACAGUAAGCAAUGCCCAAAAAAGAUCAAAAACUCUGGCAUUAGGACUCGGUCUCGGGCUUUAAGGGUUCUCUGAGGUUUUGUAUGAGGUUUGCAACAGUGGGAGGAAAGAAGUCGCAAGCGGUGAGGAGCAAUUUACAGCGGGUGUUCCGGUAAAGUGAACAGCAGUAGGAGCUGGUGCUGCUCGUUUCCGACGAUCGUUGGGGACCCACGACGACGGAAACAACUUAGACAGGUGAAGAACGGUGGCGGCGGUCAAUUCAGCGGUGAAAGUCCGUGUUCUGCAUUAGCGGCAGCAGUGGCGGUUGCUCGAUUUCCAAAUCUUGACUCUUGAGGUCUUACGGUGGGUUGGAGAUUUGAAAGAAGGGGAUAAACACCAAAAAGGGGGACGACGAGGAAACCGAAAAGGGAAUUGCACGGGCCUGUCGGCGUCAAACACGGCGGCAAAGGCAGCGAGGACUAGUCAUGACUGACUUUUAGGCUGUGUGAAAUCAGACCGUUGAUUCAAAUGACGAAAGAAUUAGAUAUAUUUUUAAUAAAAUAAAAUUUUAACAAAAAAAAAAGUGAAUGAUUAAGUUUUUCCUAAGGAGACUUUUCAAGAAAUCAUCCCUGUUGAAGGUAAAGAUUAAUGAGGCGUGGCCUAGAUAUAUGCUUAAUUACAUUGAUCUGUACCGGCCUAAAAAUUUAGAUGGCAUGAUUUAUAAGAACCAUUUAUUCUCUUGUGCGGAUAGAACAGGACACUUGUUUUAGCACAUGGGAAAAUUGGGGUUGGGUAUUUCUUUGAAUUUUAAGCCAUUAUAACAAGUCAAAUAAUUGGAUUUUGAUUCCCACUUAAGCCCCCAACAUCACAAAAUCUAUUGAAAGUUGAGUAUGACUAAACUGUCCUUAUCUGUGUGUGAUAUUAUGAUGUUCUUGAAACAUAAGUGAUUAUAGCAUUUUUUCAUUGUGGAACCACAGAAACUGCUGUUUAAAUAGCAAUACCAAUCCUAAUUUUCUGAUUUUUGGACCAAACUUUUGGCAGGUUCAUUUGGGGCUUAACCCUUUUAGAGAAGA